CAGAGGAUGGUUCUUGCAAACAAUAAAUCAUACAAAUAAGCAAGACAGUACAAUUAAAGCAAGAACAAUGAGCAAAAGCCAAGCUCACUCCGAUUAAUGUAUUAAUUCCAGCUAUAGUGUUGUUUUAAUUACCUAGGCCAAAGCCAAAGCGGACUUGAUUUCAAAUUACAAUGUGUGGCUCUGUUUUGGUCAUCUAUUUGCAACGUACAGCUUCUCCUCGUAAAUUGGGGGGUCAGCUUCUCCUUGUAAAUUUGUGGCUCUGUUUUGGUCAUUCUUUCCUUUCAUAAUUCAACAUCUUGUUCUGGCCACAUGGUAGAAGAUGCCUUUUUGUAAACAGACUUUCUGUAUUUGGCCAGGCUUGCAAUGCUCUAUUUUGUGGAUUUUAAGAUUGUAUUAGGCUUACUUGUGAGCUGCAAAAUGCCUUGUACCAAAAUUUAUGUAUAAAAUGUGUGCUAAAUUGUGUGGAGUAGAAGAUUGAAGGUCUUCCUAGGCAAGCAAUCACAAGCAUUUUCUCUCUUUUCAAUUUGUAGAAAUGUUUGUUGUAAAUAUGUUAGGUGGAGCCCACCUCCAAUUGGGAGAAGCUUCCUCGAAGCUUCCUCCAAUUGGAAGCUCCCUCUUCUGUUUGCCUACAAAGAAGGGAUCACCCUUCCUAUGUAAUCGGAGUAUGGAAUAAUACAAUGGAAAAGAACGGAAACAUAGAUUGAAUGAGGAGAAAAUUCUCCCUCCUCUCUAUCUCAAUUUUCUUCUCCAAUUUCUUCAGUUUAUAACACGUUAUCAGCACGAAUAUCUCUAAAAAUACCAGCUAGGAAAUUCGAUCAAAUCCUGCAGAACCAAGUUUGCUCAUAGAUUUGUUCGAUCCCUCUUGCAAAUCAGAAACCAUGCUCCGCCUAGCUCAUCGUCACCUUGAUUCCAGGUAGAACACCUCCUUCCUUCAUUAUGGACACAGGAAGCAGCCUUGUUUGGUUCCCCUGCACCAAACGCUACAUUUGCUCUAGAUGCCAAUUCCCAAACAUCAACCCAGCAAAAAUUCCAACUUUCAAGCCCAAAUUGCAACAACCCGAGUCACCACAACUGCUCGCAAGCCUGCCCAACUUACAUAAUCCAGUACGGUUCAGGCACCACAGCUGGGAUUUUACUUUCCGAGACACUCGAUUUUCCCAAGAAAAUUGUCAGAAGUGAUGAUGGAGACACUGCUGAUCAACGGGAGGGGACAGUACAACUGCUCUCUGGCAGCGCACUAUAGCAAUUCCAGUUCAAGCCAGUGCAGUCUAAGAGGAAGCGAACAAUGCGCACCCCCUAUUCUCCAUGUGCUUCCAAACAAGAUCUAUCGGCUCAGAAUCGCCAGCACCACUGCCCUUGCUUCACUCAACUUGGCCAUUGGGAAUCACAAAAUGGUGGUGGUGGAAGCCGAUGGAAACUAUGUGCAGCCAUUUGCGGUGGAUGACUUGGACAUCUACUCAGGCGAGAGCUACUCAGUGCUCAUAACCACCGACCAAGACCCUUCCAACAACUACUGGCUCUCAGUUGGAGUGAGAGGAAGAGAACCCAAAACUCAACAAGGCCUCACAAUCCUAAACUACCACCCAAAUUCAGCAUCAAAGCUUCCAGCUUCUUCCCCUCCUGUCACUCCUCUGUGGAACGAUUACAACCACAGCAAGUCCUUCACCAACAAGAUCUUCGCCUCAAUGGGGUCCCCGAAGCCCCCGAGAAACUAUGACCGUCGGAUCACCCUCCUCAACACCCAUUGACAUCCGACCAAGCCAUGAGCAUGCACUUCUCACGUGACUGCGACUCCUGCGACGGCGACGGCGACGGCCAGUGCGAGUUCUGCUCCGUCGAGUUUCAUCUUCGCGGUAAGUACCAUUCCGACCUCCCCAUACUCCACCAGGCCCAACCCAACAACGCAGCCGCCGACGACGACAACGACUCCAGUUCCGAGCUCUUGAGCUUUCCGUCGGUGUCUCCUUGGAUUGAUUGCCGUCGUCGAAAGCUCAGGAUGAGCCUCCGGUUCGAACACGCUCAGGUCUGGCUCCGAUAAGGCCAGCGACACCACAAGGCCUGGUUCCGGUCUGGACCAUCGGCGGCGCCGGACUGAUGGGUCCCAGUGACCAAGCUCGGCCGCCUCCCCGUGGCUCCACUCAGACCUUGCUCAUGGCUGCCGACACUAGCAAUGGUGCUGCUUGGGUUCCAUGUAAUGGCAUGGAGCUGGUCAACAGGUGAAGCCCAUAGUAGUUGUCGUAAAGUGGUGGAGAUUGGAAGGUUGCAGUUUUUAUCAUGUCUCAAGUUGAUCUUGCAAGGGAAGCUGCCCUUUUGUGCAUCCUGCUGUUUUGGUGGAAACUUAUUAACAACAAGGGGAGGACGCAUUCACUUUCUGGGGUACUCCAGAAGGUGAUCUGGUCCAUGAGCGAGCUCUUUGCAAGGCUAUGUCAAAAGCUUUGAUGAUGUAGUGGAUGACUGCACCAAUCACUUCACAAAAGCAGAGAAUAUGCUGUCGACAAAGUUGGCUGGACAGCACAUGUUGCCGAGUGCCCAUGUUUACAGCCCCACACACCGAAACAAUUAAAAUAAUAAUAAUAAAAAAACAAAAAAUAAAUAAAUAAAUAAAUAAAUAAUAAUAAUAAUAAUAAUAAUAAUAAAAAAAGGGGAUCACUCAGCAAGGGCAUAAGCGUUAAGUUUUCUGCUCCCUUAUCUUCUUUAUUAUUUCAUAUUAUAUUUAUCUGUUUUUCUUUUACUAACCAUUAACAAAAAUGGACCAUCGGUAAUACUAAAUAUAUUAUCAGUGGGAGACCGUUACUAAUACUAACGUUUAAUUUAUGAAUUUAAUUUACUGCAAAUUUACUUUACAGCACAUUUAUUUUAUUUACUGUAUGGUGUAGGUUUAUUACCCAUACAACAGUAUUUAUUUAAAAGGGUGGUGCGGUUUUAUCGCCCACACCUUUACUUUUAUUUAAAUGUAUGGUGCAGAAUUAGUGCCCAUACAAGCACGUUUACUUUACUGCAAAUUUACUUUACAGCACAUUUAUUUUAUUUACUGUAUAGUGUAGGUUUAUUACCCAUACAACAGUAUUUAUUUAAAAGGGUGGUGCGGGUUUAUCGUUCACGCCUUUACUUUUAUUUAAAUGUAUGGAGCAGGAUUAGUGCCCAUACAAGCACGUUUACUUUACCGCACAUUUAAUUUUAUUUAAGGUAUGGUGCGGGAUUAACGUCCAUACAGCAAGCAAUUUAAUUUAUGAAUUUAUUUUACCGCACAUUUACAUUUAUUUAAAGUGUGGUGCGGGUUUAUCGUCCAUACCAGCAAUUUAUUUUAAUUGUGCUGUAUGUGCUGUAUGAUGAGUUUUUACAGUAUGCAGAUCAGGACCAGAAGUUCCUUGAUCCUCAUCAUACAAUUACAUCAGGACUUGAAGAUCCUUGAUGAUGAUAUUAAUAUGAGAGCUGGCAGUCUCUCCGGUACUGUAUUUGUAAACAUGUGAUCGGACUUAAAAGUCCUUGAUUUCUGACAUGUAAAUAAGGAUAAUGAUGUAACAGUACCGUAUUGGUUCAUAGUGCCGUACACAUUGAUGAUAACUGUACUGGCAGAUGAAUAGAUACGUAUUCAUGACUUGAUGAAUAGUACUAUUCACAUGAAUAGUGACGUAUGCAUAAAUAUGAACCAUUUUGGGUAAACCGUCACUAUAUACAAAAGAGAACCUGCAGUUCCUUAAACUCAUGGAUGAGCAAUUAAAUGAGAUGCCAGAAAUUCCUCAAAAUAUGGGCAAUUAUGUAAGGGCUUGAAGUCCAGAAAUAUGUACAAAAAAUUGUAAAAAUGUCCAUACCAUGAGAACAUGUGAUUUUAACUUGAGGUUCAAAAUCUAAGUGUUGAGAACCUGAAGUUCCAACAAUUAAAUGGACAACCCUUGAGGUAUUAUUGCAAAUUGUGGUACGCCACAUAUUUCUUUGGCAUAAGAGAAUGAUGAAUUGAGACUCCCCACAUAUUUUGUUAUAUCUGGGUCGGAAGCUCAUGAACCCAAAUAUAUGAGAUAUUAGCGUGGCUUUUACUCAAUCCAUAUUUCAUGUUCAUUUAAAAAGGGCAAAUGAAUUCUGAGUUUGUGUUUAUCACAGGCCAAAAGUUCCAUACGUUGAAAUAUGAAAUUUGGGAGAGUCGAUGUGGUUAUUUGAACCUAUAAGGCACAAGGUUCCAAAUCGUCAUUUUGAAAAGACGUAAAAACCACAGGUGCAAGUUUAAGAAUAUGCGCAAUUAUUAUAACAGGAACAUACAACAGAUAGAUUUUUUCCUGCAAUGAAGGUGCAGGCCCUGUAAAAUCUAUAAAAUUACAUUAUGUUCUGGAAGCCUCUGAAGGAAGAGGACGGCGCCUCUUAAGCUUAGCCAUGAGCUUCUCAUGGUCUCCCAAAAUUCUUUCAUUGGAGACCUGCAGCAUGUCUAGCCUUCUCAGUGUAUCAACAGAGUAUGAACUCACCAGUUUCAACAAGGCAUUAUUCUCUCCUUUAAGUUUCUCAACCUCCUGUUGAGACUCAUGAAGCAUUCUUUGGAGAGACAAAUUUUCAGUAGCUAACCUCUCAACCUCGUUUGCUCUGGCACGCAAACGAUCAGCCAUGUUAGAAACAGAAACAGCACUCUGAAUGCUAAAAGCCAUUGAGUCAUUAAUAGCCUCUUCCUCUGAUCUCCCUGUCAACAACAUUUCAUCCAUUGGAGUAAUGAAAUUCCUAGCUACUAUGACAGCAGUAGCAUCAUUCAUCAUCACAGAAUCAUUAACUGUGAGAUGACGAUUUUUGGAUACAAAGGAUGGACGCCAAACUUGGGCGUCACUGGUUGUUGUGGGAGCAUCAUUUAAAUUGAAAUAAUUUGGGCAGGAAGAAGAUGAAGCCAUUUUUAAGAAGGUUUCGAAGAAAGCCUUAGGAAAACUAAAGUUUCAGAAAAUGAAGGAAGUUAAGUUGAAACGCAGUUGCCCCAAUCAAGGUUUGCAAAGGCAAUAUCUAUAAGAGGAAAUAUGGCUACUGUUUUUCAGGAUCCCAAUAUCUUCUCGGAUCCCCAUAUUUCUCUUUUUCUUUCCUAGAGUCCAAAACUUCACGUGGCCUCUAAUAAUGCCUGUCGGCACUUUCGGCGUUUUCAAGUAUUAUUUUCAAAGCCGAUCUUACUUUACGGAUUUCACAGAACUACUUUUUCAAAAGUAUCCCGAGAAUCUCGCAAUUUUCCUAUGGUUAAUUUGAAAUUCACCGGUUCUACCUAUUCAUUGUAUUUGUGUAUAAAUGUGUUACUAACGAAAUUUCCUUUGCAGAAGACAUCCAGUUUACUCCAUACGUAGUGAUGCGAUAUUUACUUGUUUUUCUUAUCAGUAAGCACUUAAUAUGCCUGAGAAGCAAGACUAUCUCUGAUCAUCCAUCCAGGAAGCAAGACUAUCCCUGAUCAUGUUUCUGCAAGAUCAGGGAAUUGUAAAGGCGGCCUUAUGCUCUAAUCUCCUGAGGUCCUUCUAGACUAGGAGAUAUGAGAGCUUAUUGUCUGCUCCCACCAGCUUCCUUCCCUGAUUGCUUACCUUCUCUUGCAAUCAAUAUCACAAUCUUUUUGCAUUUUUUCUCUUUUUAUAACUCUCUGUUCAUAAGAGAUUUUAUUUCUUUAGAAUGAACAUCUGAAGAAUGAAUCCAUGAAGUAAUCCUAACUAUGAGGGUUAUUUGUUUUGACAGAGGCAAAAGAGUUGUGAUUUUUGCUCUUGCAGGAUAUAACUAGAUCAUCAAGUGCUACAUUAUAUUUACUGGGCUGAUAUGAGCUUGAAUGAUACUUGAGAAAAGUUUCUCCCACCUAAGGAUGUAAGCAAUACUUGUGUUAUUUUAUGCUUAUAUACCUAUUUGAUAUUUUAUCUUGAAAGGUAACCAAAUGGGGAGAUAAGUCCGUUCCAAAAGAAUGACUUGUAUGUAUCCAUGAAUUAUUAAUGCAAAUUUUACAGAUUGCAAGUUGGAUACAUUGAUAAUACACUGCACAGAUUAAAAAUCCCAUCAGAACAUAACAUGGGUAUAGCAGUGAUCAAUAUGAUGCACGCCUGUUGCGUAGCAAAUGAUGUGGAUUGAAGUCCCAAAUGGACAAUCCUUUGACAUGUCAAUAUUGAUAUUAUGCACGCCUAAUGCGUAGCAAAUUAUAUGGGUUAAAGUCCCAUAAUACGGGUUAAAGUCCCAUAAAUUAAUUGACAUGUAUGUAUUAAUCUGUGGCAUGCCUGUAGCAUGACAGAUAUAUGGGUUCUAAAUGUUCCAACUCCCUAACUGGAGAUUUUCCACGCCAUACUAUAAAAUAACGCUCCAUUGGAGGUUAUAAUCCACAUUCUCACAUAAUAAAAGCCCCCUGAAGUGGCUUGGGUACCCAAAAGCAAAGAAAUGCUUAUAAUUGAUGCAUGCGCAUGCAAAUGAGAAUGGUGAGAUCAUGAAUUGAUGAAUGACAAUUUUUGAUUUUGGAGUAGCUACUCAAAUCAUCAAUGGGCUGUGUUGAUUGGAACCACGUUCAAUUAUUAAAUGUCGACAAUAUCAUUGGCCAAAAUGGAAAGAGGUAAUUCCAUUAUAAAUGAGAAUGAACGUGAAAGAACAAACCCACAAUACGAACCCCAAAAUUUGUUAAUACUGAAAGUUAUACUUGGGUGUUCGGAAUAAAAGGGAAUAUACCUACUUUGUAUGACACACUGUUUCUGGCAGAAACAAGGAAUGUUGGGUUUUUCUCCAUAUUUACAGAUUCAAUUGUGCCCCCCUUAUUACACAAUUACGGAGACCAACAUAUUAUCUUUAAGGGUUAUUAAAUGAACAGAGCAUAUCACCUGAAGUGAUUCCCUAAAGAUGUAUAAAAAGCUGGGUUAAAGCUAUAUAAUGUGUCAUAAAACUUAAUCCCUUUUAGACAAAAUCCGUUGAGAGGAUUAUCAUUACUCAAUAUUAAUAUGCAUAAAUUACCUCAGUGAGUACAUUGAUGUGAUUGCAACACAUUAAAAAUUCUGCAGAAUUCACGAAAUAUUUGUCUCGACUUAAGGAUCGAGCAUUGUGCCAACGAGAUUCUUGUUUAUACUAAGAAAGUAUUGAAGCAUUUUUAUGAGGAUUAUCCGUUGGUCCUUAAAUAUUUUUCCGGAAGUAUACUAGACCAGAUAGAGCUCAGCUCCACACUGUACUCUUUUUCCUUCAUCCAGGUUUUUAUCCCAUUGGGUUUUUCCUGGUAAGGUUUUAACGAGGCAGUGUAGCUCAAGGGUUUAGGGUAUACUAUGAAAAUUUUAGUGGUCGCUUACUGGACAGAAGCUAGUCCUAAAUUUUUCAGGGGAAGAUAUUCACCAGGGGGAGAAAGGUCUUAAUAAAGACCUUCAUACACUGUACUCUUUUUCCUUCAUCCAGGUUUUUAUCCCACUGGGUUUUUCCUGGUAAGGUUUUAACGAGGCAGUGUCGCUCCAGAUUGACUCACAGCAGCAGUGUCAACUACGAUAUUCAGAAAGGUGAUCAACAGUAUGACUUAAAGAUAUUUUGCCAAGCAUCAGGGGGAGCGUGCUAUCAAUAAAGAUCUUCAAACACUGUACUCUUUUUUCCUUCGUCCAGGUUUUUAUCCCACUGGGUUUUUCCUGGCAAGGUUUUAACGAGGCAGUGUCGCACGCGCGCCAAUACACUUAGAAUUUUAUGUUACACAUUAUUAUGUACUCUUUUUCCCUUUGACCAGUUUUUGUCCCACUGGGUUUUUACUGGCAAGGUUUUUAACGAGACAUAUUCCAUAUCAUUUGUGGUCUCCAAGGGGGAGUGUUGUAAAUAUGUUAGGUGGAGCCCACCUCCAAUUGGGAGAAGCUUCCUCGAAGCUUCCUCCAAUUGGAAGCUUCCUCCUCUGUUUGCCUACAAAGAAGGGAUCACCCUUCCUAUGUAAUCGGAGUAUGGAAUAAUACAAUGGAAAAGAACGGAAACACAGAUUGAAUGAGGAGAAAAUUCUCCCUCCUCUCUAUCUCAAUUUUCUUCUCCAAUUUCUUCAGUUUAUAACAAUGUUCAAGUUCUUGCCCAUUACUUGCAGAUAUAUAGUGUUGUGUAGCAUAAAGGCUCCAACAUAUGCAAUUCCAUCAAGGCCUGCAGGCCAAUCACUGCUUUCUCUUGGAUAUUCCAAACAUUUGUAGAGCCAUAAUGAAAACUUGGUAGGCAAACCCAAAUACUUGCAUUGACCAUUUGCUUAAACUUGAUAGGCUAGCAAGGGGCUUGUAGCUCAAGCAAUUAAGAGCAUCUAUCUCUGAACUCGAGGUCCUAAAUGUGAUUCCGACAAACAAAAAACUUGGUAGGCCAGACCCAAAUGAACCUGGUUUUCAUAAACUUGUUUGUCAGCUUGAUAGUGGCUUAUUAGAAGUCCAAAUUGGUUGGGAAAGUAAUGUCCACCAAUUUUAGCAGAUACCUUUUUGGACAAUGUUGAACAGAGCACUUAACUUGAUUGUUAAUGACUAGGGCCCCUGAUAACACACAGAGAGAGAGAGAGAGAGAGAGAGAAGAGAGUUGAAGAAGAAAGAGAGUAUUUUUAGAGAGAUUUGUAUAUUGAUCUUUUCAUCAUGACUGAUUACAAUAAUGACUCUGUUAUAUACAGAGUUGAAGAAGAAACAUUCGGAUGAUCCCGGAAGCAAAUGAUCGACAAACGUCAAUGUGCAAUAUUGAACUUUGGGUUAAAGUAGCUUGAAUUCCACCAACAUCAUGACAUUGUACGACCUUUGUACUGAUGGAGCCCAGAAGCAAAUGAUCGACAAACGUCUAGAUCCAAGAACAAUCAAAUGAGAACGACAAACAUCUAGAUCCAACUUCCAAGAACAAGCAAAUGAUCGACAAACAUCUAGACCUAUUUAAUAAUGCAGUCCCGCUCACCUAAGGUCCUAAAAAUGAGGUCCUGUGAGGUCCUCUUUAAAAACGGCCCUUAAAUUAAUGUAACGGCCCAUAUCUUCAUUAUAAUGAAGGUGUUUGCUUUGAAUGUUCAACGGUAGAGUGGGAUGAGCCAGGGUGUUGUGGUAAACAGAACAGGGUUAGUUCAUGGGAAAUUGAGACUCACUGAAAAUUCAUAUUUCCUUCUCUGCCUUUGAGUCUUAAACGACCAUUACACUCUGUAUUCUUGGGUAAGUUUUUUAUUCUGUUUCCAAGCAGGGAAGUCUGUUACACGUUUUUUUAAUGACUUUUUUGUGCUACUAGGAGCAGAAACUGAGUGGGGAAAUUUGAUUAAAAGACGAUACAUUCGGGUUCCUGAGAUUGGAAAUGGGAACUCUUUUCCUUACUCGAUUUCAAAUCUAUGUUUGGAACAGCUAGUCAAUAUGCUACUGAAACCUCAACUUGUUAAUCAUGCUUGAACUUUAGCUGCUCUACAACAGCAAUCGGCUGCUAAUGGAGAUUUAAUAGCAGAUAUGAAGACCAUGCAAGCCAAACUCAACCAAAAGAAUCCGGGUGUCUUUUCAGAAGGUAUAUCUCUACCGAAUCAAAACCCUCCCCAAUCAUCUAUGGAUCAAUCCAAAGUGCGGCGCAACUACAAACUAGCCCACGGCCUAUGCAGCCGCCUUUGGAAUCAUUACUCUACCGCCUUUGGAAUCAUUACUCUAAGAGAUUUCUCAGAUGAGAGCAACAAUCAAAGUGGGAUUUACGGAACGUUGCUGUUGGUAGUGGUGUUAGCACUGUUAUUGACCCUUCUGUUUUCUACACUAAAGAAUGCAGAUUUCCACAACCCCUCAGAUUGCUUGGUUGGUAACCUGAGCUCGAGCCGGGAUCUUCAGUCUCAGUUUACCUCCGGCCCAGUUUACCUCCGCCCGCCUAGGCGACUCCCAGGCUUUCUCCAGGCAAGACCAGGCAGACAACUCAGGCCAUGCUAACAAGCUAGGAUCAGAGGUCAUACAUAUUUGAGUGCUAAAAUACAUCAAAUAUUGAAUGCCUUAAUACAUUCAAGAAUACACUAUGAUUCUUUCAUUUCCUAACAAUUCAUUGUCCAGAGAACAGAACAGCUAAUAUCUCCUAAAGUAGAAAUCAAGAAAUAAAAUAGCUUUUAAAUUACACAACAGAUUCUACCCCCAGCUUGCUUGCAGUAACAAAAAUAAGCAAUUGAUGACGCCCUUAUUGCGACGUUGAAGGAAUUUCACGAGGAUGUUAAAAAGUAAUGAAGCCACACAAAUUGUGCACGUCAUGUCAAAAAUUAGCUCAAGUAAUUACAAGAUAUUCACAUUGAAUCCAUACAGAAAUACCAAAAGCAGCAGAUGACACACAUAUCAAGCACGUCGCUUACUAAGACGCCAAGAGUUAGGUUCAUGGUAUCUAUCAUAUAGCGGUUCAAUACGUUCUUGACGCUUGCGCUUGCUCAUCUUGGUGGGAUCUGCCACUUUGAAGAACCUGGGUGCCAGUUCCACAAGCCAUUUGGGGUCGACAACCGUCACCUCGCGCAUGUACUCCUUUGUGGUCAUAACCAGCUCAUGGUAGAUCACCCAAUCUGGUUGUCUCUGGAAGAGGGCGCUGCUUGGGUGUAUAUAAACUGGUUGGUUCUCCACUAGGGUUCUAUAACCCUCCUGCGGGUCCUUUCUAGCACCGUGGAAGAAAAACCCUGCUGUAAUUGCCUUCCUGAUCUUUGUAAAAUUCUUUCCAGCACUGACAACAUCUAGUUUAUACCUGAAAUUCACAAUCUAUAGUCAGAAUGCAAUUUCAUCUUCAAAUCAGAAUACUCAACUCAGAAAUCGUUGAUCACUGUUAUAAACUAAAGCAAGGGGUGCUAGUAGAGACAUUGGCAUGACAAUCUUUAUAAUAAUCUAUCCUAGAGCUUACAUGACAAUGCUAUGUCAAUCGAAGAAAUCUGUUAAUGGCGAUGGUAGGAUGUGUAAUAUGCCAUCUGAAUUUCCAUAUCAACUUAUAAAACAGUUUUGCAAUAUUUUGUACAAACAACACUUGACCAAGAAAAACAAUUCCAGUAUCAAAAUAACUAACAUGUCCGCACAAGAGAGCACAUUUGAAGAGCAUAUACUGGCAAUUUAGCUAUACACAAAAGGGUAGUUAUAAUUUAUAAAGAUACUAUACUUAACCACUGAAAAAAUGGUGGAAAAAAGCACUUCUGCUAAUAAUGCUCUGAAAACAGUGUAUGAGGUAACAUCAACAUGACAAUUCGUAAUCACCUAUUCGCUGCUCAGGUACCAUAUAUCUAGAUUUUAAAACACAAACUAGGCCUGAACAACAUUUCAGCAUUUCCGUCAAGUACAGACAGCAAAAGGCAUGCCUAAUUCACGACUACUGCAAAAAUACAAUGUGCCAAACAUGAGCAAACCUAGAACAUUAAUCUACAUCUUUUAAAACCAUUCAUGCAAACGUGAAACCAGAAAAAAAGAUCCAUACAACCACGAGUACACAUCAAGAUAAAUUAGAAGAACAUACUUGUCCAUGAUGCUGAGAAGCUGUUUUCUGACAUCCUGUGCCCUCCUCAAGGAUCGAGACUGAACAAAAUUCUCAAAACACCAUGGCCCUGAAAAAUUCUUAGCUUUCCAUGCCUCAUAGACUGCAAGUAAAGUCAGAUGAUCUCCCUCUGGCUGGAAAAACUUGGCUCUCUUCUGAUCUGCCUGGGCUUGUUUUUCCCUAGGCCUGUAAAAAAUAUUACCAGUCUGAAUCAUUGCAAUGAUGGUCAAGAUCUCAUCACUGCAUCCAAGGUCCACACUGGCCAGUAGCAUCUUAGACAAGGGUGGAUCCAGAGGAAACUCAGCCAUUUUCCUACCCAAUUUGGUGAGCAGCCCCUCCUCAUCCAGUGCUCCUAAACUGUACAAUUGUUCCAUGGCAGAAAUGAGUGCUUGGGGUGAAGGAGGAUCCAUAAAAUCAAAAGACAAGAGAUCAUUUAUCCCCAUAGCUUUCAUCGUAAGUGUAGUAGUCCCAAGAUUUAUCCUCUGGAUUUCUGGAAUUGAAGUAGGGGACAUCUCAUUGCGGUAUGCACUCUCAGUGUAGAGGCGGUAACAUUUCCCAGGGCCUGUACGCCCAGCACGCCCAGCUCGUUGCUUAGCUGAUGCUUGGGAAAUUGGAGUUAUGACCAGUGAAUCUAGCCCCUGCUUUGGGUUAUAAACAUUUUGCUUUGCAAAACCAGGAUCAAUGACAUAAAAUAUCCCAUCAAUGGUCAGUGAUGCCUCAGCAAUAUUAGUAGCCACAACUACUUUCCUCUUACCUGGUGGGGCAGGAUCAAAUAUCCUUGACUGCAUUUCACUAGGAAGGGCACUAUACACUGGUAGGAUAAUCAACUCAGGGACAUUUUUACCAAGACCUUUCAUCCUCUCAUAAAGAGACUGGCAUGCAAAAUCAAUCUCUUCUUGUCCAGUCAAGAAAAGAAGGAUGUCACCUUCAGGUUCUGUCAAGUGUAUUUGUAGAACAGUUAUUAGAGAUGCAUCAAGGUAGUCGCUUUCCGGCUGUUUAGUGUAGAGUAUCUCUACAGGAAAAGUUCUCCCAGGGAUAGUGAAGAUGUUACAGUUAAAGAAAUAACCGGAAAACUUCUCCGCAUCCAAGGUAGCAGAUGUGACAAUCAAACGAAGGUCUGGUCUCCGCUUCACAAGCUUCUUCAGUAGUCCAAAAAGAACAUCUGUGUGGAUUGUCCUCUCAUGAGCUUCAUCAAGCAUGACCACAGAAUACUGAGAAAGGUUCUCAUCAAUCAAAAUCUCCCUAAGAAGCAUACCAUCAGUCAUGUACUUGAUGACAGUGUCUGGACCAGUGCAAUCCUCAAAACGAAUUGCAUAGCCGACUUCCUCUCCUAAACGACAACCAAACUCUUCAGCAACCCUCUUGGCCACAGACAUAGCAGCCACCCUACGUGGCUGUGUACAACCAAUCUUACCCAUUGUCGUGUAACCCGCUUCUGCAAGAUACUGCGUUACCUGUGUUGUCUUACCCGAACCAGUCUCACCAAUGACGACAAGCACUUGGUUCUCAUGCACCGCUGCAAUCAAUUCUUUCUUCAGCUUGUAGAUAGGCAAGCUCUGCCUCUGUUCCUGGAUUGAGAGUUUUGACCUCUGCCCAAAACUGAUAGUUUUCCCAAAAGCAUCCUUCUUCCACUCAGGCAUAUCAUAUGCUGACAAACCAACACCUCUAAGUUCUUGUGCAAGAUGCCUCUCACCAGUCUCUGGCAUUGGAUCUUCCCAGGGACGAUUGAGAUCCUUUGGGAUAGAAUCCAACAUGGUUCUCUGCUGCUGCUCACGCACUUCUCUACGCUCCUUAAUGAGUGCGGACUGAAGUGCAGCUGCACGACCCAGUGACCCUUCUGGAUUCUUAAAGAUUUUCACAGGUGACAUAUCAACAGAAUACCUGCUCUGUCCAUUUAAAAAGGCUGGCUCGUCCUCAUUGAGCUCAAUCUCAAGCUCUUCCUCAGCUCCCUCUUCUUGAUAAAGCAUCCCAUCGGUUUCCUCAUCAUACAUAGGAUACUCUGUAACACCCAAAACACCUGAGGCAAUCAACUGUUUGGCUUCCCACUUCUCUGGCGAGCUCAUUCUCUUCAAUGGCCGACGUGAUGGGCCAACAUCAUCCUCUUCCACAAUCCUAAUCCCAGAAAGACCAGUCCUAGUCACAGGUCCAUCCUUUGAAAAAGAUGGGUUCGUCCUAAGAGCAUCAUCCUCUGAGCUCUUCUUCAAGGGGAGCAAAUCCUUCCCUGUAUGUUGAUCAACAUCCCUCAUUGAAAGGCUCAACUUCUGACCUGAAAUUGAAAUCACCUUCACAUAAACUUCCUGAUCCCUCUUCACCACAUCCUUAGCAUUGCUAAUUCGCCUAGUUGCCAUCUGUGAAACGUGAACCAGACCCUCCUUCCCUCUUAAAUCAUUCAACUGAACAAAACAACCGGUGUCCAUCACUCUCGAAACCCUGCCCUUAUAAACCUGAUACAAUUCGGGCUCAUCCGAAUGGUUCUGGCCGUUCUGCCGAUCCCUAUUACCUCUCCUAUCAUCACCAUCUUCCUUAACAUCUCCAUCGUCUUCAUACCUAUCUCUCUUAUGCUUAUUGUAUCGAUCUGUAUGCCUUCCCCUGUCAUCAUCAUCAUCAUUAUAAUGUGUAUCUCUGCGCCUCUCAUCUCUAUCAUACCUUUCCCUUCGCCUCUCCCUCCCAUCUCUAUCUCUACCUCCUCUGUGUCUAUCUCGAUCUCUAUCUCUAUCUCCUUCCCUAUAUCUAUCACUACCUCUACGCCUAUCUUCUUCUCGCUCUUCAUCUUGUUCUUCUCUUCUGUUUCGCUUUUCCUUGGUCUCCAUCUCAAUUUCCUUCUCGAUGUCCUUGACUCUAUCUUUAUUAUCAGCGACUGCCAAAGCCUUAAACUUGGUCUUCCUACCAUCAGAAGCGCUCUCUUUCUUCGAGUCCUUCUCAGGCUUUGGCUUUGGUGGAAGAAUAGCGUGAAUGAUAGUGAGGAGUGUACGGACAAAGUAAUCGGGCAUCUCGGCACCGUUUUUCUUUAAUUUGGUGUCAAACUCGUCCACCGUCUCGCACUUUCGUCCCAACUCAGUGAUGAACUCCGCCAGAACUUUGUCCCCAACCCCUAUAUGGGUUUCGAGCUCUGAACAGACCUUGGAAACCAAGGAAAGGUACUCGAGCUUCUUCAAACCAUCGUCAGUGGCAGCCAUUAUGAACUUGCAGAGGUCCUAUUCAUAUUCAAUACAAAAACAAAUCAUAUCAAUAGAAAUUUCAAAAUUUAUGAGAAGAUGCAUAAACCGUAUAAUAUUAACUUGCACAGGCCCUAUUCAUAUUCAAGACAAAAAAUUCAUAUCAACGGAAAUUUCAAAAUUUAUGAGAAGAUCAUUGCUAUAUACUUUUAAUCAGUAGCAUAAAGUUCAAAAUUCAUGAAUGAUAAAUUUAUCACAAAAAAAGAAACAAUUUCUACAACUUCAAACUCACCCAGCAAAAAAUAAAAUUUAAAUCUAAAAUUGCAUACCAGGAGGAUCUGGAGAGUUAAUUCAACUAAUAAUAAAGUAAACUUGGAAUGCCAAAGCAAAUUCAACUAAAACCCUGUAGAACCCAGGAAAUAAGAAACGGAAGAGAAUAAAAAAGAAAUAUGAAACAAAAUCAAGGAAACUGAUCGUUGCUAAAGGGUGGAUCUUAAAUAUGUGAUGGGAUGGGGUCCAAGAUUAGAAUAUAUUGCAGUAAGACAUCAUACUUGGGAUGAGAUGAGAUCAAAGAUGGUUGCGCAUCAACCGUUGUCGCUGUCGAGAGAGAGGAGAGAUGAGCAAUAUGUAUAUGGCGGGAAGACGGCGUCGAAAAAUGGAGGAGUUGACGGUUGAGAUGGGCGGAUUGUUCGUCGCUGACGGCUGGAGCGUUUCUGUUUCAAAAAUAAUCUCAACUGAGAGGGGGGAUUUUAGCGAUUAGGGUUGAGAACUUGAGUUGGAGUGCACCGGCUGUAUCGAUACGCCUAAAUUUGGACCUGUGAAACUAGAGAAAAUAAUAUAAUAAUAAUAUCAUUUAUCUUUCCAAAGGCCAAAAACUUAUAAGUAAAAAUUUAAUAAAUUACAGAGAAACUUUAGUAAAUAGAAGAAUAUUAGGUAUGCAAUAAAAAGAUGAGGAAAAUUUUGGAAAAUAUAGUUAGUGGAGAUUUUUUUUUUUUUUUUAUACAAACAAUAAUCUAGUUUUUUUAUUUUUAUAAUCAUUCUAGGCCUACUUUAAUUUUUAUUUUUUAACAGCUAAUAGGAUAUUGGCACAUGAGUUGAUCUAUAGUAUUUUUUUACUACUUUUUGUUAGGUUAUUUUUAAUUUAAAUAUUCACUAGCCUCUUUUCACGCUCUUCUGCUUCUGUGAGAGGCUUUUUUAAAAAAAAAAUUGAAUUUAUUUUAGAAUUAAAAAAGAUAAUGAGUAGUUGUGUUCUAUAAAAAUAGGAUCCAUUAUCUGAUUUUUCUUUUAAUUUUAAUCUUUUUAAUAUGAAAAAAUGUGAAUUUACCAUAUUAUUCUCAUUUAAUUAAUAAUUUCAAUUCUUAAUGUUUGCAUUAAUCAAUGACAUUUUCUGGUAUUUUAAAUAUUUUAUCAUUCUCUACCUUUUGCUUUGUAUAUAUGGAUAUAGAUAAUAAUAAAAUACUCCCUUUCAUUGAGAUAUUGUUAUGCUUAAAAUCGUAUACACACCACAUUGUAUUGAAAUGUUAUAGUGACUAAACUCUUCAAGUAUCUUGCAAUUAUCAGAUAAGGAGUUAGUAAUCACAUAGGAAAAUAUUCAAUUUAUAUGUUUCUGGUUAUAAUAGUCAUGAUGCAUUUCACACCUUUUGCUGGUCUAGUCAAUACUGUUAUACUUCAGAAUUCCAAUAACGCUACGGGCACCAACUUAUUUACCAACUUUUGGAUACCAACACAUGUGGCACAUGACAUGGCAACCCAUGUCAUCUGCCAUCUCAUCUAUUUUAAUUACAAAAUUAACAAAGUGAGAAUGAACAAAAAAUAAUUUUGGUGGAUUAUUAUCGCGUUUGGAGUGAGUUUGGGUGUUUGAUUUGAUUUUGAUUAUUUAAUAAUACUAUUUUGGCCAUUGGAUUUGAUUUUGAGACAUUGGAAUUUUUUUUUUUUUGGUACAGUUGGAUUUGCUCAAAUUAAAUCUUAGCCAUUAUAUAUAACGAUAGAAAUUAAUUGGAAAAGAAAACGAAACAGUAGUUUGAAGGAAGCCGUUGGAUUCCUACGAUCCUUUCAUCCCAGCUCGUUAUGUGUCCUGACAACACGGGCCCCACGUCUUCUCAUCCAUUAAUCCCAACUCAAUGAACUUCCUUUUCAAACCCAACAAAAAAGAAAAAAAAAAAAAAAAGCGAUCUGAUUUGAAUGCACUUCUUUAUCAUGCAUUUUGUCCAGGAUAGGGGACUGAUUUUCCAGGCCAAGUGCGCAAAACAGUAGAGAUUUUAAAAUCAACUUUCCGAACGUAAAAUUAAAGUGGCUCGUUUAUGAAAAAGUUUCCCUCCCAUCUCCUCCUACUUUUCCCUCCUCACUCCCCUAGAAGAAUACCGGUAUAUAUUUUUCAUUUUCGGAAUUUCCAUUUUGUCUCAACUCAAACGUCAUUUGCUCUUGUCAUCCUCCUCCUUCAAUCCAACCCGCAUCCAUUGUUAGCUCGAAUCUUCUAAAACUACUACUUCGUUGUAAUUGGAUAUUAUUGAUUUGAUGGGUAGAGAGCAAGCUUAUGUUGGUGACGAUAUUGAUGAAAGUAAGUUCAAGACUUCGGAAGCAAUGAACCGCUACAAGAUAAUCUUCAGUGUUCAAGCUGUGACGGUUGAGCGGGAGGUCAAAUUGAGUGACUUCGAGGAUCUUGGGCUUCCUAGAAUCUUCAAAUCAAGAGGUUGGCUUUUGGCAAUGGGUCCUUCAGAGCCUACUAAUAUCCAGAUUGUCCAAGAAUUCUACGCAAACAUUCCUCCUUUCUCCGCCGAGCAGAAAACCUCACCUGGGUUGGGCCCUUUUGGUUCUUGUUUGUGGGAUGAGACUCUGCAUUUCUCUAGCGGUCGAGAAUACCCUGACUCAUUUGAUGUGUAUUUGCGAGGUAAGGUGUUAAAUUUCUCUGUUUCUGGCAUUGCCCAGUUACUUAAACUUACUAGGGCAAACCCAAAUGAAAAAUCACCUGGUUUUCCUGGGCUUGUUGUUGAUAAUCUUGACUUGAAGGUGGUGAAAUCUACUUUGGGUUGGAACAAGAGGGUCAGGGUUUUGCGUGAAAAUCGACUGAGUGAUUUGUACAAAGUGCUUAACAGCAUAGUGAGAUAUAAUAUCGAUCCUCCUUGUCACGUUAUCCCUUCUUUGCUUAGCAUUGAUAGAGCUCGCCUUCUUUAUGCCAUUGGGAACAAUGUACCUACUGAUCUGGCCACCUACAUUUUUCGUGCCAUCUGCCGUGCUGCAUUCCCAACUUCCAUGCCCGACUCCCUGCCUUUUACUUCCUUGAUCACACGCUUCGCCAUGGCUUCUCACGUGCCAGUUGAGCCUACGGAUAAGCUUUAUUCUCCUUGGUCGCCUUUGGACAACGUGGAUAUUUUUGGCUAUAGCUUUACUCCAUCUUCUCCGGCAGUCAAGCAACCUCAAGCCGUGGUGAGCCACACGCCCAGUAUGGCCAUACUUACCAAUGGCGUUGCUGAGCACAGGGGUGAUGUGCACCCCGUUUCCACCCACUCGGUCAUCCCACCUUCUUCGAAACAGCCAUCUGCAGGUCAGUCAAAUGUUAAUAGACAGACAUUAACAACAACAAAUGUAAUUUUCCUUAGAUUACACUUGGACAUUCAGCUUAUUACUGUAAAAUGCAUAGGCCCUUAUUGUUUUUAAGUGCAGGUGGUAAAAAUUUCCGAGGGUUUUCGUUGGUAGCAUCAUAGUUAGUAACAGAGUUGAACUUAUAGUAAGCAAUUAGGCAUCAAACAUGGCACGUUUCUGUGAUUAGUACUUAUGUCCUUCAAUUGUGUAUAUAUUGUUUGCAUGGUAAGUGGAAACCUUUAGAAGAUAAGCUCUCUGUUUGAAAUCACAUCUGUAUUCUUUUAAGGUUUGGUGUGAAGGAUAAACCAUGAAGUAGUCUACUAAUGCGAUAAUGGCUCAUAUUUUCACAUUUUCCUGUCUUCGUUGCCUCUGUUCUUGAAAACGUAUAAAGUGAUGGAGAGGUCUUAUUAUUUUUGGAAAAUAUUACAAUGUUCCCACAUCCCUGUAAUCUGUAUUUGACAGUGUACAUUGAUAAUAAAAUGAACGACUCAGAUACUUCAUGUGACAAUGAGGUAUGAACUUCAUCACAUUUUGUCUCUUUAAGGUUAUAAUAGUCACGAUGCAUUUCACACCUUUGCUGGUUUAGUCAAUGCUGUUAUACUUCAGAAUUCAGAUAGAUUAGAAUCAGAUGAUUGCUUUCUCUCUGCUUGUUACCAAAUACUCUGUCAGUUUAAUAUCUUUGUGUGUAAACAAUAUAAGAAAAACGAAUCUUUUCUCUUGUGCUGUUUUUGCUCUCUUUGAUAUUUACUUUCUCUCUGUGCUUGUGCUGAAGAAAUAAUGGAGGCUGAAGAAGAAAAUAACAGCAAUUUGAUUCCUAACUCACAUGCUUGUAUAAAUCCAUUAACUUCAACUUCUGACUCGCAUCCAAAUAAGAAAGUGAAAAAAGAUCCAUUGGAACAUGCAGCUGGUGAGGUGUCAAAGUUACUGCUGAGUGGUUUCAAAGAUACCUAACGUCAGUAGAUUGCAAGUUUUUAAAGCUGUACGCAUAAUAUUGAAUGGUAACCCAGAAGAAUUCUCUCUACUGAUACUCUUCCUGAUGUUGAGAAGACAAAGUGGAUACUCUUACUAAUUAGUCAAUCUGAAGGUAACUUUCUUGAUAAAAAUUGAGCCAAUAGCUCAGGGGAUAUAAAAUAGGUCUUAGACAUAAAGCCACUUAUCAACAUUUACUUUCUCUCAGGAAAAGAAGAAAGUUUGAGAUACGCUAUCCCUUCUGGCCAUGGUAUGGCUCUCUCUCUCUCUCUCUCUCUCUCUCUGUCUCUCUCUGUGUCUCUCUCUCUCUGUCUCUCUCUCUCCCUCUAACUUAAUUUCUAGUUCUGCAUUUGUUGUUUUAAUUUUAUGCUUUUAACAUGUCAAACCAAUACUUCACUCUGUAAGAUUACUACUUAAUAUCUAGAUAGAAGAGAGAUUUGAACUGAAAUAUCCCAAUUGUAAAUCCUUCUACUCCAAAUUAAAGAGAAAAAGAAAAGUAUGAACCAAUUGGACAGAAUAUACUUGCACAUACUCCCUCCUUGAAUGAGUUUCAGUAAGAAAGCUAGUGUAGCCAAUUGGACAGAAUUUACUUGCACAUACUCCCUCCUUUGAUGUAGUUUCCAAGUGCAUCACCUUAUGAUACCUCUUCAUGUUUUCAAUUAGUAUUGGCUUGUGACAUGCCAAUUUUCUGAGCUUUUAGGGUUCAAUUAUGUAGAUAGAAGAGAGAUUUGAACUGAAAUAUCCCAAUUGUAAAUCCUUCUACUCCAAAUUAAAGAGAAAAAGAAAAGUAUGAACCAAUUGGACAGAAUAUACUUGCACAUACUCCCUCCUUGAAUGAGUUUCAGUAAGAAAGCUAGUGUAGCCAAUUGGACAGAAUUUACUUGCACAUACUCCCUCCUUUGAUGUAGUUUCCAAGUGCAUCACCUUAUGAUACCUCUUCAUGUUUUCAAUUAGUAUUGCCUUGUGACAUGCCAAUUUUCUUCAAUGAUUAUAUACAGGGAGCAGAGUGGCCAAUUCUUUCCUUUCAUAAUUCAACAUCUUGUUCUGGGCACAUGGUAGAAGAUGCCUUCUUGUAAACAGACUUUUUGUAUUUGGUCAGGCUUGCAAUGCUCUAUUUUGUGGAUUUUAAGAUUGUAUUAGGCUUACUUGUGAGCUGCAAAAUGCCUUGUACCAAAGUUUAUGUAUAAAAUGUGUGCUAAAUCUUGUGUGUGGAGUACAAGAUUGAAGGUCUUCCUGGAAAAGCAAUCACAAGCAUUUUCUCUUUUCAAUUUGUAGAAAUGUUCAAGUUCUUGCCCAUCACUUGCAGAUAUAUAGUGUUGUGUACCAUAAAGGCUCCAUCAUAUGCAAUUCCAUCAAGGCUUGCAGGCCAAUCACUGCUUUCUCUUGGAUAUUACAAACAUUUGUAGAGCCAUAAUGAAAACUUGGUAGACAAACCCAAAUACGUGCAUUGACCAUUUGCUUAAACUUGAUAGGCUAGCAAGAGCUUGUAGCUCAAGUGGUUAAGAGUAUCUAUCCUUACACUUGAGGUCCUAGAUGUGAUUCCCUCCUCCCAAUAUCGCUUGUAACCAAAAACAAGCAAAAAAACUUGAUAGGCCAGACCCAGAUGAACCUGGUUUUCAUAAACUUGUUUGUCAGCUUGAUAGUGGCUUAUUAGAGUCCAAAUUGGUUGGGAAAGUAAUGUCCACCAGUUUUAGCAGAUACCCUUUGAGACAAUGUUGAACAGAGCACUUCACUUGAUUGUUAAUGACUAGGGCCCCAAGGGUAUGUUCUUGGUAUGUUACCUUAGGCCUAAGAUACUCUGUCUGUCAGAAGAGAAGAAUGGAGAAGAGGGUGAACAGUGCACGAGAUUGCUGGGUUUUUGCAAGUUAGAGAGAUGAAGAAGGUGGAAAAAUAAGGCACAAAUGGGAAGAUAGCUUGCAUUCUUCUUAUUUUUAACAGACUUUUAUAUAUACCCUACAACGUAAACUAGAAAAUAAUUAUAUAAAAUAAUGAAAUUCCAAAACUCUUUUGGAUCUGAAAGUCUAAAGGUUUUCAUUUCUUCAGUUUUCCUCUCACUCUUUGGUUCUCCAUCAAUUUAUUUUUCAUCAUUCUCUCAUCUCAUCCCUCCUUUACAUGUAUGCAAUCAUUGUAUAUUAAAUGAGGAGAAGUGAGGAGAUGAGUAGAGCUGGGUUCAGGGUUGGUGACAAAGAAAAUGAAAUCAAUCAAUGAUGGAGAUAGAUGUCCAAAGAAAAAUAUUUUGAUGAAGUAGAGAAAUUGUAUUUUUGGGAAGAGUUGAGUGUCUAGAGAAUGGUGAGAAUAAAAAUAGAAACCCAUUGAAACACCGAGUGUAAACAGAAUUCUUGGUAAUAUGAAAUUUCUCUUUCACAUUCAAGGAGUCAAAUCACAUGAAAAGUUUAUGAAGGAACUAUGUUGUAACUACUCUUAACAACUUGAGCUAUACGUGUCAAGUUAGAUCUUCAAUAAUGUAGUAACACACUCUUCAAUAAUGUCUCACAAUGUUAGAUCUUUCAUAGUGAAAAUUAAAUUGAAGAGUGAGAAAGUGAUUUCUAAGAGCAACUCCACCGCUCAAGAUUGAGCUAGGGCAAUCAGUGGGUCCCACCAACCUGGGCAGGCCCAAAGGCAAUUCUUGCAUGGGCUUCAGCCCGAGGGCGGUGACAUCAGCGCACGGUAAUUCAAAUUUUUUUUACCGUUGGUGCGUGAAUUACACGCGCCAACAGUAAAAAAAUUUGACUUCCGCGCGCUAACGUCAGCCCUGAUAGACUCUAAUGGCCAUUUGACACGUAUCGCAACCGGGCUUCUCCGAUGAGUUUUUUUCCAGAAAUCCAACGGUCUUUGUUUUUUUGGCUAAAAAAAUUCCAAAAAAAUUCUGAAAUUUUUUUAAAAAAUACCAAAAAAAUUCUGUAUUUUUUUUUCCUAUAAAUACCUAACUAUUUUAUUUACUUUCCACACUAAAUCUUCAUACAAUUUCUUCUCCAUCCAAUAUUUUUUACUCUCCACUCACAUUAUUCACUUCCCACACCAAUUCUCCAUACAAACUCUUCUCCUUCCAAUAUUUUUUACUCUCCACUCACAUUUUUCACUUCCCACACCAAUUCUCCAUACAAAUUCUUCUCCUUCCAAUAUUUUUUACUCUCCACUCACAUUUUUCUACUACUUUCCAUUUGUAAAAAAAAAAAAAAAAACAAAUGGCAUCUUCUGUCGAAACCGGAGGCUCGUGGUCAACUCAGGAAGAUAUUGCAUUGUGUCAGUAUUAGGUGAACGUUAGUAAUGAUCCUAUCACGGGCAAUGAGAUGAAGUUCCAUCAUAUGUGGAGUAAAAUUCAUGGAGAAUUUUGUCAAAGAUCGGGUCCCAUUCGGACCGAAAUAGCCUUGUCUAGUAGAUGGAAACUUCUGAAUAAAGAGUUAGGGAAAUGGAGAAAUGCCUUGACAAAAACAAGGGAGAACAUUCGAAGCGGUCAAAAUCUAUCCGAUGAGGUAAAAUAUUUAUAAUUGUCAUUUUAAUAAAUUUAAUGUAAUUUUUUUUUAUUGCAUAUUCUAUGUCUUUUUGUUGCAUAAUCUUUUUUUUUUCUUUUUGCAUUUCCAAUUUGUCUAUAUUUUCUUGCAUAAUCAAUUUCAUUCUUGCAUUUCAAAAUAGUUUAUAUUUUCUUGCAUAAUAAUUUUUUUUCUUGCACUUCCAAUCAUUUAUUUUUAAUAGAUCAUACAAGCACAAAUGUGGUUCGGUGCCAUGGGGCAAGGCAAAAAAAGUUUCGUGCAUUUCCAAUGUUGGGAAGUUGUGAAAGAUUGUUCAAGAUUCAAAAUUAUUCCCACCGGUCCAACAGUUUUGUUGAAUGAGACGCCGCUUCACGAUUCACCAUCAACCGAUUCGCCAUUGGACUUCCCAAUGGAAACGGAGUCACCACUCCCACGUCCGCCAAGACCUAUUGGGAGAAAGGCGGCAAAGGCCAAGAGAGGGGGCACUUCAAACAAUGAAUGUAUACAAUUAUUGGAGCAAAUAGCUAAGAACACCUCACUAAGAAUUGAGAGAGACUUGAAAAGAGAUGAAGUGGACAAGGCACGAGAGGAAGCAUUUGUAAUUCAACAGCAGCAGGCACAAGACAAAGACAUGGAUGAUAGAGAGAUGAAAAUCAUGGCCAUGGAUACGAGCCAUAUGUCUCCUGAAACCAAGGCCUAUUGAAAGCAUAGACGAAGAGAUGUGAUGAGAAGAAAACUUUUCCAUGACGAUGAACCUAGCAAUACGGAUUGGUUAAAUGAUGAAAACCAUUAAGUUUUAUUGAAACACCUUUGCCAUAUGUUGUAUUGUUGUAUUGUUGUAUUAUCCUUUAAUUUAUUGUAUUGUUUCCUUUUCAUUAAAUAAAAAAAGUAUUAAAUAAUAUGACUAUUUAUUAAAAACAUUUGAGCAUCAAAAUAAAGAUUAAUUAAAAACAAACCUUAAUUUAUUGCAAACAACACACAAAAUAAAUCAUACAUAAAAGCAUAAUAAUAAUAAAAAAGAUAGAGAUGGUGUAGUUUUAUAGAGGGAUUCAGAAGAUAGAAAUGACACGUGGCACAAUUUUAGAGGAUGAAAAUCUUAUCUGAAAUAUGAGAUUAUAAUUUUUAAAAAAUAUCUGAAAAUCUUAUCUAACAGAGAUAACACUUGGCACAAUUUUAGAGGGUGAAAAUCUUAUCUGAAAUAUGAGAUUAUAUUUUUUUUUUAAAUAUCUGAAAAUCUUAUCUGACAUGGGACACGUGACACAAUUUUAGAGGUGAAAAUGUUAUCUGAAAUAUGAGAUUAUAAUUUUUUUUAAUGAAUAUCCGAAAAUUUUAUCUGGAAUAAGACAUGUGGCAACUAAGAUUCUCAUUCGAAAAUCUUUUCUGAAAAAUAAUGGACAUGUGACAGUAAAAAGUAUUAUCCGAAAAUUUAAUUACAAAAGAUUAUCAAAAUUAAUAGUUUAAAGUAUAAAAAAAUAGGAAAUAAAGUACAAUGAAUAGUAUUUACCUUAGACUUGCCCUAGACUUAACCCUCAUGGGUGGAACCACAAAUGGCAAGGCUGCCACUAUUCAUGUGACUAUUCAUGUGAAUAGUCACAGCCCUUGCUUACCCUUGCCCUAGACUUAGCCCUUAUGGGUGGAAUUGCUGUAAAAAGUUAACAUCAAAAGACCCUUAAAAAGUAUGUGAUCAUUCUCAAUAUGGACCCCCAUAUUUCAAUUUCAUUAUUUUACUCCCACGGUUUUCAAAUUUGCUCAAUUUACUUUCCGUCACAUUAACUGCUAACGUGUCUACUGUGAGACACAGCCACUUAUCAAUCCCCAUCCCAUCUAACAUGUAAUAAAACAAAAACUAAAUAUAUGAUAUUAAAAAAAAAGAAAAAAAAAAGAAGAGGCAUAUAGCCUUCCCCAUCACUCUCACCGACGCACAGUCGCACCACCCGAUCCCCCUCCCUUUCUUCGUCCUCUCUCUCUCUCUCUCUCCCUCUCUCCCUCUCUCCGUCCCUUUCUCCCCCAUCCCAUCUUCUCGAGUUCUCUGAUUCCCCCCCCCCUCUUCGCGAUCUACCUCUCCUUCGAGAGGCUUCUCGAGUCCAGGCCCUGCGAUGCCGAUCAGACCUAGCUCAUCGAUCGCUCUCUCCAAUUGGGCUCUGUGCUCCUCGAGGCUGCUAAUCGUUCUGCGAGAAAACCAGCCUCCAAGCACAACUCUCUCACCUGUACUCUCCCCUCAAACCUCCCUCCAAGCACAAUUUGUAUAUAUUGAUAGGGAUGGGGAGCUGGGAGGAUAGUGGGACGGAGAGAGAGAGGGGGGGACGAAGAGAGGGAGAGUGCUCUGGUGGGGAAGAGCCAGGUGCGCCGCUAUCACGAACACAUUCAGACCACGAGCUGACGCAAGUGGAAAUCAUGCUUCUCUGUUUUUCUAGUUCUGUAGUCGCCGCUAAUCAUGCUGCUUUGAUUUUCCAUUGAUGUUUGCUUUGUUACUCUCAAAAAGUUUCCUUCCUUUAUUUUUUAUUUAUUUCGAUAAUGAAAUUUGAAAUUUGAAUUGUGUGUUGCUUUGUUACUCUCAAUAAAUCUUCCUUCUUUUUCUUUUUUCUUACAGGAAUUGGGUUUUGGUGUUUCACCAACGAGCUGACGCCAGAGAGAGAGGGAUGGGGUUGGUGUGGGUGCGAUUGAGGGGUGAACAAGGGGUGCUGGGUUUGUUGGGCUGAGGAAGGGCUGGGAUUUUUUAAGGUAUUUUUAUUUUAUUUUAUUUUAUCACUUUAUAUAAAUUUUUUUAGGAACUGAUUAGUUAGUGGGCGGAUCCCGAUUGCCCAUAUUGAGAAUAACCCCAAAUGUCUUUUGAUGUUAGCUCAUUUCUAAAUUUGUAGAGUGAGGGAGUGACCACAGUUUUGAUAUAUUGGUGUCUAUUUUUAUUGGAGCUGAUUUUGUUUGCCUCACCUUACCAGUGGGUAUAUUCCUGGUAAAUAAUAUUGCAACUCUUGCGCUUUUAGAAAUUGUGUGUAUAGUUUUAGAAAAUGGGUCAUGUAAUUUUAAUAUAAAAUUGCUACAAACUCUUGUCAACCCUGGAAAGUUCAGUCCAAGUGGACGAGACAUGCUCUCUCUUAUUAAAAAUGCUAUACAUGUACACCAUGCUUUUGUCCUCAAAUUUGGACUCGUUAUACAGUAUAGACUACUUUAUUUAUGUACUUGGCUAAGAGUUCGAUUAUUUUCCUCCCCUUUUCUUAAAUGGAAAUCAUCUCUAGUUCUUUUCACCCCUAACAACAUAUGGAACUGCUGAGUUCAUAACUUUUCUAUUGUUUAUCUUUUAUGCAUAAAAUUAUAUCUUGUUUUUUUACUGGGUAAUUCAAAACUUGGAAACUCCUUCGACGACUUUACUAAAAAGGAUUUAGGUUUUUUUUACUAAAAAGUCAGUAUAGUAUGAAUACCUAUUUGAUACGAUGUAGGUUUUUUUUUUUAAUUUAAAAAUUUAUUGAAAGGAUUUUUAAUUAUUUGUAUUGGCACUAUUAAUUUUGCCACAGAAUUCUCAGAGGUUUAGUAAUUUGCUUUUACAAAUACCAUGAUCGUUUUGGGAAAUCUCUCUUUCUGGAGGCAGAUUCCAGAGCCGUUUAAGGGAAAUUCGUAGUCGAGCUACCGAUGUUCAUGAUAAGGAAAAGGGAAUCAAGAUUACUGAGAAGGAUUGGGAAAAGUUGAAUGUACAAUUGCUUCAUACAACAAUUUUCCUACUGCUGCUGGAUUGGCUUCCUCAGCAGCUGGUUUUGCUUGUCUUGGUAACCGAUAAUACCCUAUUUUGGAUCAUAUUAUUGUUAAUUUGUUAUAUGAUUAGUGCCUUAACUUUGAGAACUCAUGACUGUUAAUAAUGUUACUUGGGUACCGGAUUAAUCAUUCUUUGCCAAUAGAUAGUAGUUAAGCAACGAGCAUAUCAUAGCUAAGCCUCUGUUUCUACUUGCAGUUUUUGCCCUCGCAAAGUUAAUGAAUGCGAAUGAAGAUCACAGCCAGCUUUCUGCUACUGGAAUCAAUCUGAGAUUUUAAUAAGCCAUCGCAAUCUGACUAAGUUUUACAGAAUACUUAACACAAUAGUAAGUGCUGAUAUCGACCCUGAAGAACGUCUCCUUGACAGUAGCUUAAUUGAUUUUGACAGAGCAAGCCUCCUUUAUGCCAUUGGGAAUAAUAAUGCGUCCAUUGAUCAGCCCGCCCACAUUUUCCGAGCCAUUUGCCUGGCUGCAACCCCAGACGACUACUACGAAACUCAUUCCCUGCCUUUUGGGUCGUUGAUCACUAGGUUUGCCAUGGCGUCUAAAGUGCGAAUUGAUCCUACGGAUCAGCUUAAACAACUUAUGCCACCUAUCAACUAGAUGAUGUUUCAUAAUGAUCAGACAGAUGAAACAAGUGAAGAAUCUGUUGUUGGAUUUACUCCUCCUCCUGCACCUGCUUCGGAGCCAAGUCCUCCACAGCUUAAUCAGCCUCCUCUGUCCCAGACAAAAAGCUUUGAGAAGUUUUCUAUAAAGCUGAGAAAGCGCAUGGCCCGACUUGCCAAUGAGGUCGUUAAGCUCACCGGUUGCGUACAUUGGGGCAUCCCAUUGAAAGAGCCAUUUACAGGUCAUUCUAAUGUUGAGCUUGCUUUAGUUUAUAUGUGUUUUUGUCCUUUUCAGCUUUGUUAAACCCUGUCUUCAACUUUCAUUUCUAAUCCAUUGAUUAUCUAUGAGUUGUUAGGCUUUUGUUUCCAUUUGUUUAUUCAGUUGUUCUUCUUUUAUACCCUCUCAUUUGUUUCUGCUCCUCUGUCUUAUGAUUUUCCACUUCCACUUAUCACUCCCUUGUCAUACACACUUGCAGUACAAGAUAAAUAGAAUCUGAAGUUUGCCUUGUUCUGGAUGAUAAAUAGAAUUCUAUUUAGUUAUAUAUUUUCAAAGAUACAAGUUAAAUAAAGACGAUGUAGCGAGCACCAUAAGCUUCAAAAGAAUUUUCCUAGUUCUAGGCUUAAGUAUAUUUUUUAUCUAAAGGACCUCUGAGUUGACUGCAGGAACUGAUUCAGCCUAAUACUGUAAAAGAAUUGUCCCUUGAAUAUCUUUUUAUGUACAGCUGGUAAGAAAAUUUUCGGGUUUUUACUGGUGGAAGGAAAGUAAUAAACUUGAAGUUAGCAACUAGCACUGAAUGCUUCUGUGGUUAGUGAUUUAGUAUUAAAGAGAAGCUCUGUUUCUGAUCAUAUAUGUAAGAUUGAUUUUGAUUGCAUUAAUUAGUAAAAAAGAUAAGCUCUGUUUCAGAUCAUAUAUGUAUUCUUUUAGUCAACUAAUGAGAUGGGGUGGUUAACAUUUAUUUAAGUGUGACUGGAACAGUUUUGAGUGAUGAAUUUUCCUAUUUUCACUAGGGAGCUGCCUUUGAAUUUGAUAUUUUCGGGAGUGAUUCGAUGCUUUUCUCUCGUUUGAAAACUUAACAAAAUUAAAUAUUCACAAUAUUCCCCAUCGUCUGUAUAAUAAAAAUGAAACUGCUUCUACAUGUGAUUAUGAACUCCAACACAUCUUGUGUCCUUGUGGUUGUAAUAGUCAGCAGUUAAUGCACUUCUUUGCUGCUUUAGUGGAUGUUUUUUAUGCUUUACUUUCUCUCUGUUAUUGUGCUGAAGAAAAUAUGGAGGUUAAACAAGAAAAUGAUGAGAAUUUUAUUCCCAACUCACAUACUUCGACACAUCUAUCAACUUCAAUUUCUGGCUUGCAUCCAAAUAAGAAAGCGAAAAAACAUCCAUUGGCACAAGCAAUUGGUGAGGCGGCAGACUCACAAAAGGAGUUUUCGGCAAGUCAAAUGAACCGCAACUCAGAGGAGAGGAUGUACUUGCAGUGGUCUCAAAGAUACCGAACUUCAGUAGAUUGCAAGUUUUGAAGGCCGUACACAUGUUAUUGAAUACUGCUUAUUAGUAAAUCCUGGGUCUAACUUUCUUGAUAAAUGAUGCUGAGUGAGCCAAUUAUUUCUCAGGGGUUUAAACUUUUGCAUAGAGAGACACUUAUCAGCAUUUACUCUCUCUCUCUCUCUCUCUCUCUCAUUAAUCCAGUAUUAGGAGUGAUCUUGCUUUUUAUUCUUUUCAUAUACAAUAUUAUUGAUAUCCUUUUAUGUCCUUUUACACACACUGAGCUUCUUGACAUGUUCUGGGCUUUUAAUCAUGCUUCAAAGACAUACUUUAAAUCCAUUUAUAUAUCUUCUUUAUCUAUUUAUUUCUCUUGUUUGAGAGGAGGUAUUAUUUCUCUUGUUCAUUAUACUAAUGUAAUUUACACGGAAAGGGGUUUGAACUUCGGUGUAAGGGGUAAGCUCACCAUCUUAUCCAAUUAGCCUAACCGCAUUUGCAGAUGUAUACAAAUACAAUGAUAUAGUCCAAACUACUCUAAAUCUAAACUACUAGGGCAUGUUUGGUAGGGUUCACUAGAUAGGACUAUGCUAAAUUGAACCUGAAACCCAUGUUUGGAUAGAAAGGGGACUAAUUUAAAUGGGAUUGUAGAGCCCAACAGUAACAAAAACCCCUCACUCGUUCUCCUUAUACAGAGAAGCUGAAAAUGGGUUCACAAAAUAAGCGCUUCGUUAUAUUGAACACGCGACAACGCCUCUCUCUCUAGUUCUUGACUUCGCCCUCUAUCUAGUUCGCGACUCGACCUCUUCUUUGUUCAACAUCGACUCCUCUUCUUCGAAUCUUGACCCAGGCAAGUUUUUCUGGUCUUUCCCUUUGGAUACCUCUCUUUUCCUUCUUCCACCUCUUUGAUUUUUGCAAUUGUCCUCAACAAUUUUGACUCUGUGCUCUGAAUCUCUCCUUCCUUUUCUCUGUUUUUUGUUAUUCUUUUCUCUAAUUUUCGUAGAAUCCAUAUCUACUGUAGCGACAUAUAUAUAUUUGAUGUUAAUUGACAAUUAAUUUGCAAUGGGUAUUUAAGAAAGCCUAGAAAUUCAGAAUCUUGAGUUUAGAGUAGACUUUUGGCAUGAAUCUUGAGUUUAUUGAACUUACUGGUUCAUGUGGGAUGAUGCAUCUUUGUGGUUUCAGUUUUUAAAUAAGAUGCUCUCCUUUCAUCUUAUUUAAUCUGAAUAAAAAUAAGAUGUUUCUUUUCUGAUGUACGCAAUUCAUACCAGUCUCAUGUGUGACUAUAUUCAAUAGGAUUUGAGACAUGAUGACUAAACCUUCUGAAUAUCUUUCUAUGGCACUUGGUGGCUGGACUGAGGAUUUCUUGUAUUUUCAUGAGUUGUAUUCAUUGGAGACUUUUAAUAGGUACCUUAACAUGUAAAAUGGCUGCAUCUUGCCUACCAUCAUCUACUUUCAGACACCACAUAUAUAAUCUCACAGUUGAGGUGUAAGUUUUGAAGUGGAGCCUCAACUUAGGCUCUCUGUUAGAACGUCUCCUUUAAGUUCUCAUUUUGGGUAAAUGAGAUUCUGUAUUCACUCUAACUGUAUUCAAUUAGAUUAACUAACAUAAGAAUGUCUCUACCCUUUUUUUCUUUCUUUUUUAUAUUUUCCCUAUUUCCCCAUGGUCAUAAUUUACAGGCCUUUGUCUUAACUCUGGCACUACCUAGGUCUGCCAAUUUUCUUUUUUCUUGGUUGGUGAUUUAGUGCUAAAAGAUUACACAGAGGAAGAUUAGUAUUUGUUUUAUGCUUGCUGUUGAGUUUCUUUUGUAGCUAUGAGGUUGCCAUUUCUUAUAAAAUUUUUGCCAAAAAGUCAUACUAGGUUACCAUUUGGAUAGAAGGUACAUCAAAUCUUGAUUUGGGCCUUUUUGUUUGCUCAUGUCAUUGUGGUAAUGUUAUAGGUAGCUGGUGUGAAAUUAAAAAGAAAAAAACAGAGUUUGCAUUGCUAUUUUAUUAUUCAGCAUUCCAUCAGUUGUUUUAUGCUUGCUGUGGAGUUUCUUUUGUAGCUAUGGGGUUGCCAUUUCUUAUAAAAAUUUUGCCAAAGGUUACCAUUUGGAUAGAAGGUACAGCAAAUCUUGAUUUGGGCCUUUUUGUUUGCUCAUGUCAUUGUGGUAAUAUUAUAGGUAGAUAGAAUCUAACAAUUCUUUACAGUUGACUCUGGUGUGAAAUUAAAAAGAAAAAAAACACAGUUUGCAUUGCUAUUUUAUUGUUCAGCAUUCCAUCAGUGAUGGGCAGCUUGCAACUUUCUUUUAGUGAUUGGCAUGGGCAAAGUCCUUCUAAUGUCCUCUCACCACAUGUGGACAUUAUACCAGUAGAGCAAUUUCUCCUUUAUAUGAGAUAGAGAGACCAAUUACUCAAAAAUGAAUAAAAUACCAACAACAAAUUAAAGAAAACAGAGCAUCUGACACUGUUGGCCAUGUCAAAGCAAAGUCAUGCUAUGUUUUUUCUUUUUGUUUGGAGAAAGAUAUGUAGUUUUGGAGUUUGCAAUUGUGACAAAUCCCCUGUGAUUGAUUGUAUCUGUCAUUUGACAGAGCAAUUUGCGUCCUACAUGAGUAUCAAUUGAUUUUGGUCUCUCAAAUAAGAAAAUGCAAUAAAUAACAUGGUGUUCAUUAGCAGCAGCAGCAUCUUUUGGCCAAAAGUGAAAUAAUUCUGCGAUUUUUUUCUUCAUAUUUGUUGUGGUAUUAGGCACACGUUGGUUGAUAAUUUGGUCCAUUUGGGGCAAAUUUUCCAUACUUUGCAAUGGUAUUAAUUAUGGCUUUGUAGUAAUUGUUCUGUUUCAUAGAAACAUAUGAAACUGUUCGUUUUCAAUUUUUGGGGUUAUUUCACUUUCAAUAGAAUUGGUUAAGUGCAAUAAUUCUUUUCUUUUUUGAUUAAUAGAUAUGGAUCAUGCUUAGAAACAAAGUUACGCUUUUUUGGCAGAUUCCAAUUAUUGAUUAUGGUAUUAUUUUAUUUGUGCUGAUUAUUCUUAGGAAAGGAAAAUAAAGGUAACAGUCAAAACUUCGAACAAGGAAGAAAGGGACUAGGCGGUCAUGGUCCACAAAAUACAUCUAUAUUCAUGUCUUUGGAUGAUGAUAUCAAGAAAGUGUUUGUUGAGCAGUUGCUUAGUGACAAUGCUUGAGGACAUGGCCUAGCUAAAUUUAAUGCAUCUAUCUUUUUGGAAACACCAAAAAUGAUGCAUUGAUAAGAUUGGCUUCAUUUUGGAAACACCACAAAUUGUAUAACAUAUUGCUAGCAUUAAAGCCAAAUGGUUCAUGGUUGUGAGGUUUAUUAGUUCAUUUUGAAAUUGUGGAUGUUUAUUUGUAUGUAUUAAUGGUAGAAUUGUGUGUAGUGAACUGGACUUCUAAUUUCUGAGUAAUGUAGAUGACUUUGGCAUAUAUGAAGAAUUUCUAACUUUUGCAUAUAUGAAAUGUAUAUGUCAAUUUGGUUUGGAGAAAAAGAAAUGUAUAUGACAAUUUGGUAAUUCUAAUAACAAAAAAAACUUACAUUUAAUUAUUUAAAAAUAUUAUUUUUAAAUAUAAAAUAAUUAUUUUUUAGUCCUACAUAGCACCAAACAUAGGUCUUCGCUAUUUUUACAAUCCAGCUUUUUAGUCCGACACAGCACCAAACGUAUGUCAGUACUUAAUCCAGCUUAGUCCAAUCUGAGCUAAUCCAAGAUAAUCCUAGGAUUUAGUCCAGUCCAUGACAGUCCGCCGUACCAAACGACCCCCUAUAUUACUUUCCUUCUAUAGUCAAUAUAUAUGACUUUUGCCCUUCAAACUAAUUAUGUCUUACCUACAAUCCAUUAUUUUAUCUACUAUAUUACUUUCCUUCUAUAGUCAAUAUAUAUGACUUUUGCCCUUCAAACUAAUUAUGUCUUACCUACAAUCCAUUAUUUUAUUUUAUUUAUAAAUAAAACCCAAUGAUUGGAUCCGACUCAUCAAUUUACCUAAUUAAAUUUAAAAUUUUGAUUUAUUGUACUUUUUUUAGAUUAAAAAUAAUAAUUAUGGAUAAUUAAUCUACCUAUGCAAUCUCGGCAAAUUCUUAUACCUACAAAAUAUAGGUAAAUUGGUACCCUUUUUUAAUUUUAUAAAUAACGUGCCUAUUUUUUCAUAACUAAUGUACCUAUUUAUUUUAUAGAACUAAUUCAAUAGCAACGUUUUUUUAAAAUAUAGAAAUAAUGUACCUAUUUUCUUAUAAUUAAUGUACCUUUUUUUCUUUAAAAAUAUUUACGUAUUCAGAAUCUCGCCCCUAUUCUGACUGAGAAUUGCUCCUCAAUCAAUCAAUAUGCAUCUCACCACCCAAGCUCUCUUUCUUCACUGGGACCGUGUUUUGUUCUUUAUUUAUUUUUAUUUUUUUUUCAUUUUAGUUGUUGUUUAAUUUUUAAACUUGUGUUUUUUAAUAACCAUUAUAUUAUCAUUUAUAUCCAAGGGCGAAUGACCACAAAUUCCUUGGACCACAGGAGUUCAGAAGAACGGGACCGAGUAAUUCAUAUACUAAUCAUUUAUCGAGCAACAAAACAAAUCAAAUCAAAGAAUCAGAAUGCAAAAUGAAGGAAGCUGCUCCGAAACUCUAUGAUCAGAUAUCCAACACUAAAUCUACUUAAGUGUUUCGUGAUCAUCACUAUAAUAAGAGAAACUUUCGUGUGUAAUUGUAAGACCCCAUGUUUAACCUAAAUUAUAGGGGCAUUUCAAAAUAGACUUGGUCAAUAACCAAACUCUCAUAUUAUAGUUGUUGAAUAAAAACCCAUUAUUCAUUUAUUAGUAUCAAUAAAUAUAUAGGCAUUAUAUUAAUAUUAGGUUGAGUAGAGAUAUUUCCACAUGUUUCACUUAAGUCAAGUUCACAUUUGCAAAAAGAUAUUUGUAACUUGUGCCCAGGGGAUGGGAUGCAAAGCCAUUGAUUGAGUGGACACGGGAAGGCACCUUACCAAGUCAAGUCAAGUCAAUACCUGCAAGUCAGUUGGAGCACGCGUUGAAGGGCACCAUAUCAAGUCACAAGUCUUCAUUUAUCUUUUUCCACAUAGUGACAUGAAUUAAAGUGGUGAGUCUCUCUUCCUUUUGUUCACCCGUGUCCUUCAUAUUCACUUUUCAGUCUUUCAUUUGAAAACACUACAAUAGCACACUUUCCAAAGAGAUUCCCAAGCAGCUUAUUGGCCUUUCGAGUUCGGGGAAAUUAGCAAGUGGAAAAAUAAUUUUCCGGAGCUUUGUCUCUACGACAAGUUGGCUUUCCAAAAAAUCGAAAAGACUUUACAGUCUUUUUGUGUGAGUCAGUCAUCAUGAGUUUGCAUACGAAGACUUCAAAGUCUCCUUGAUGAUAGUCGUCCACAGCAAGCUCCCAACGUUAUAAAUUACUAAGAUGGACAAAUGCUCAAUAAAAUUUAAUUAGGAUAAUUAGUUGAUUUAAGGAAUAUCUCUUUUUCUGGUGUCAUUUUUUAUUGACCGGAGAAAUAUGUGUAUCCGCAUAUCCUACAUUGAUUGUCUUAGUAAUUUCCUUUGCAUCUAAAAAAAAUUUAUUUAACCCUAAAAAAAAAAUAUUACUCCAUCUUGAAAUGUUUCCCCUUAACCUUUGCCACACUAAUCACAAAGUAUACUAGUAAAUGUUUCAAACCACGUAGGAUAAUUUUUUGGGAGAUUCACUAUUAUACCCAAUAUAAGAGUUCAAAUUUUUUUUUUAAAAAAAACCUAUAUGAAAUGGGCUUUAGAACACACCCAAAACCCAUUUACAACAUAACAAAAAAGCUUUUAACUUCUUUUAAAGUACAAAACUGUCAUUGAUUUCUUAAAACAAACUCAACCCAAAAACCUCAUAAAAAAGCUUAAAACACUCAAUAGGGUAUCAAAGUAAUUUAAUAAUCAAAAUUAAAUUAAAUAGAUCCGGCUGUCAUUUUUUGAGUUUAUUUACAAAAAUUAAAUGGUGUGGGGUUAAUUUAUAAUUUUAGUGCUAAGAAUGGGUAAAUAUUUAUAAUUUUUUCAAGCAUUAUUGUAGAGAUAGCAAUAUAGUGCUAUUCCCGUUACAAAAAAAUAUUUUUCCUUUUGAAUGAUACAUUCAUAUGUAUUUGAAAUUGAACCUACAUACACAGGGUGGUUGUCCACAUGGCAUGGUAUGAGAGCAUCAUUGAGCUAUGUCACUAUUCAGCAAAACAGUAUGUUGUGUCACCGAGCGUACACAAUUCUUUUUAUAUUAAAAAAUUAACCAAAAUUUUAAAAAUAGUAUUUUUAUUUUAUUGAAAUUAAAAAAUAGUAGUAUGAACACUACAUCUAUCAUCCUCCUUUUUCCAACAAAAGAAAUCUUAGUAGAUCUUUCUCUGCAAACUCUUCAUCAUUUCUAACUAGUCUAAUCGAACAGUCAACACCUACUUGACGUGUGGUUGUGGAGACUUAAAAGCCUUUGAAAAUUUUACUCCUUUAUAUGGUUUUGUCUUAUAUGAAUGUGUGGCACUGUUUUAGCUAAACCAUGUUUUUCUUUGUAAAAGUUUUCUUCCUUUUUUCCUAUAUAUAUAGUUAGUGUGUAAUUAUAAGACCCUAUAUAAUAUUAACCUAAAUUAUGGGGGCAUUUCAAAAUUGACUUGGUCAAUAACCAAAGUGUUUUGAAAAGCUCUCGUAUUAUAGUUGUUGAAUUAAAACCCAAUUUUCAUUUAUUAGUAUCAAUAAAUAUAUAGGUAUUAUAUUAAUAUUGGGUUGGCAAGAGAUAUUUCCAUAUGUUUCACUUAAGUCAACCUCACAUUUGCAAGAAGAUAUUUAUAACUUGUGCCCGGGGGAGGGAUGCAAAACCAAUGGUUGAGUGGACACUGGAAGGCACCUUACCAAGUCAAGUCAAGUCAAUAUCUGCAAGUCAGUUGGAGUACGCGUUGGACGGCAAAUCACCAUAUGCAGUUUAUGUCACAAGUCUUCAAUCUCAUAUAUUAAUUUCUCCAAUGUUCAUUAAUUUACUACUUGUUUACUUGGACUACUGACAAAUUUUUCUUCAAAUAUCUUUUUCCACAUAUCGACUUGAAUUAAAGUGAUGAGUCUCUCUUCCUUUUGUUCACCCGUGUCCAUAUUCACUUUUCAAUCUUUCAUUUGAAAACACUACAAUGGCACACUUUCCAAAGAGAUUCCCAAGCAGCUUAUUGGCCUUCCAAGUUUGGGGAAAUUAGCGAGUGGAAAAAAAAUUUCCGAAGCUUUGUUUCUUCGACCAGUUGGCUUUUCAAAGAAAGAAAAAACAUAAAAAUGGUAAAAUAAAGUAAUUGAGCAAUUAAAAAAGCAAAAAGAAAAAAAAAAGGAAUUACCGUUUGUUGACGUUUGAGUUAAAUGUGUAUGUGCAACGACUUAAAACUCUAGUUUACACUCUUUGUGGAACCAAAAAAUUGAAAAGGCUUACCAGUCUUUGUGUGUGUCAGUCAUCAUGAGUUUGCAUACGAAGACUUCAAUGUCUACUUGAAGAUAGCUGUCCACAGCAAGCUCCCUACCCAAAGUUACAAAUUACUAAGACGGACCAAUGCUCAAUAUGACAGGACCCACCCUGAAUUUCUCGGAACUUGAGACGAAUCCUGUGAAAAACUAGUACAUCCCUCCAAUGUCAUGCCCACUUACCAAAACUAUAGCCUCUUUUCCAAAUUAAGGAAAAAAGGUACGAGACUUUUUGCCAAAAUUUCGGCAGAGUCUCCCCUGUAAAUUGGACUUUCUCCAAAUUUUUUUAACCUAUUAAAAAUACAAUUAACAUCCACAACUAGUAGCAUGCACAACUAGUAGCAUGCACAAUUUAACCUUUAAGCAGUUUACGAACUAGGCCUCUGGCCUUUAACAAUUCAGUCAGUUGGGGCACGCGUUGGAAGACAAAUCACCACAUUAAGUCUAAGUCAAUAGUUGCGUUGAAAGGCAAAUCACCAUAUCAAGUCGAAGUCACAAGUCUUCGCGAUCUCAUCCAUUAAUUUCCCCAAUAUUCAUUGAUUUAUUACAUGUUUACUUGGACCACUGACAAUUUUUUCUUCCAUUAUCUUUUUCCACAUAGUAACAUGAAUAAGAGUUGGUUGUACCUUGUACAUUUUUUUUCUCCUUCUUUUUUGAAAUUUGGUAUAGUCCAGUUCUGAUGACAUAAGUGAAAUUGAACCUAUAUCUAAGAGCUCCUUUCAAAGAAAAAACAUAAAAAUGGUAAAAUAAUGUAAUUGAGCAAUUAAAAAAGCAAAAGGGAAAAAAAAGGAAUUACCAUUUGUUGACGUUUGAGUUAAAUGCGAAUGUGCGAAGACUUAAAAGUCUAGUUUCCACUCAAGUAUGUGGACUUAAUAGUCUUUUUGUGGAACCAGAAAAUUGAAAAGACUUUACAAUCUUUUUGUGUGAGUCAAUCAUCAUGAGUUUGCAUACGAAGACUUCAAAGUCUACUUGAAGAUAGGUCCACAGCAAGCUCCUUGCCCAACGUUACAAAUUACUAAGAUGGACCAAUGCUAAAUAGGAUUUAAUUACGAUAAUUAGUUUAUUUAAGGAAUACCUCUUUUUCACGUGUUAUUUUUUUAUUGACCGGUGAAAUAUGUGUUUCCAUAGAUCCCGCAUUGAUUGUCCUAGUAAUUUCCUUUGCAUCUAAAGAAAAUGUAUUUAACCCUAAAAAAAAUGUUACUCCAUCUUGAGACGUUUCCCCUUAAACUUGUUUGCCACACUAAUCACAAGGUAUACUAGUAAAUGUUUCAAACCACCUAGGAUAAUGUUUUCAAGCAUUAGGAGAUAGCAAAAUAAUGUUAUUCAUGUUAUAAGAAAUAUUUUUCCUUUUUGAAUGAUACAUUCAAAUGUAUUUGAAAUGGAAUCUACAUAUACGGGGUGGUUGUUCACAUGGCAUGGUAUGAGAGCAUCAUUGAGCUAUGUCACUAUACAACAAAACAGUAUGCUAUGUCACCCAAUGUACUCAAUUCUUUUUAUAUUAAAAAAUUAACCAAAAUUUUAAAAAUAGUACUUUUAUUUUAUCGAAAUUAAAAAAUAGUACUUGUAUUCCUGCAUCUUACUUUUUAACUCAUGCAUCAUAAUUAAUUUGGAAUCUAAAGUACUUAAUUUAAUUACCUCCAUAAUAAAGAGAUUCGAAUCUAAAGUGUUGAUGCUCAAAAUGGCCCGGCCAAUAUUGAGUCCAACUUAGUGAUUAGAUGUGCUGAGUCUUCAGCAGAGAAGAGGGCUGAGGCCCUUGGUGAAAUGGGUUGGUGAGAGACCUGUAGAAGGUAAAAAGAGGAGAAGCAAUCGUCAAGCUUCGGACACCGGUGUGGUGCCGGCCGAAGGCUCUCCGAUGCCUAAGUCAAUUACAAGUAGUAAUUCUGGCAGAGUAACAGUAAAAGUGGGAGAGUAGUUCUCUGUUUUACUUGGGUACUGUUCCCUAUUUAUAGGGAAGUGAAAGUGGGAGCUUUGCACAAAGUUCCAAUGUGGGACUUUGUGCAAGCCGUUGUGGUGACGACACGUGUCCUGGAGAUUAGGUUUGGCAGCUGAGAGCUUCGGCAGGUGUCUGGCACCUCGGAAGUGUGUCUUCCUUCGGCAUGGGAGAAGGCGUGGCUGCCUUGGUGCUAGUCGCUUUGAUGCUGGGUCUGCUCGGUUCAUUAUGGUGUAAACAGUAGUCCCCCAAGUUCGCGGUCGAGAAGUAACUUCUGGGUUGGGAACUUGUGAGUUUUUGUAAUUGUAACCGAGCAUUCCAGCUUCAUUGGGAGUCGCAGGGCACUCCCUAGUCCCCCAAGUUGGCAAGCUAGGAGUUGCGUCAACACAUGGUAGCUGGGUACCUGGGUACUUGGGCAUGUUGCAGAUAGGAUGGGAGCUGGGUCCCUAGGGGAGCCAGACCUUCGAGGGAGCCGGGUACUUUGAAAAUUUUGGAGACUCCAAUUCUUUCAUGGCUCCUGCCGUGCGGCAAGGGUCUAGCUCACUUUUUUUUUUUUUUGGGAAUGGCCGGGCCAUUUGGGAUUUUUGGACCUCCCCACAAAGCCUCCAUGGCCCUUGCCGUUCGGCAAGGGUCUAAAUUAUUAUUAUUAUUUUUUUUUUUUUUUUUGCAAAUUUUUUUUUUUUUUUUUUUGGGAAUGGGAGCUAGGCCAUUUUGGAUUGGGCCUUCCACAGCUUCUCCAUGGCCCUUGCCGUUCAGCAAGGGUGUAGCCAUUUUUUUUUGUUUUGGAUGGCUUGGGAGCUAGGCCUUCAAGAGAGCCGGGUCGUUUUGAAAAUUUUCGACUCUCCAAAAUGUCUCCAUGGCCCUUGCCGUUCGGCAGGGGUCUAGCUAUUUUUUGGAUUGGGAGCUAGGCCGUGUUGAGAGAGAUUGAAGGCUUAGCUUGGAUUGGGCCUUCGGCAAGUAAGAAAGGCUUGAGUUUGGCCAAAGUGGGCUUCGGCAUGUAAGAAGGCUAGGGUUUGGCCAAAGUGGGCUUCGGCAUGUAAGAAGGCUAGGGUUUUGAUAGGGGUAUAAAAAUGGGAUGAUGGUGAUGCCGUUCGGCAAGGAUCCAUUCGGCAGGUUGAGGUAGAACAAAAUUUUUUUUGAAAUCCAAACUUGCCGUUCGGCAAGUUCUUGGAGUCCCGGUCUUGGAGUCACGGCUGUGGAGUUGCUGUCCGAGGGCUCUGCAGGUGGCUGAGCUUCGGCAGGGCAGCUGGAGUUCUUGGGGGCUGAGCUUCGGCGGCAGCACGGGGGUUGUAGAACCUUCGGCAGGGUCUGGUCGAGGUGCAGUUGAGGUGCUGCGGAGAUCGAAGUGGAGCUGCGACUGAUCUUGCCGUUCGGACGAAGGGGCUGGGCAGUUGUCUAGGCAGGCUGUGCGGCGCAGCAGCUUCGGCAAGGGCUUUGCCGAUAAGACAGCUGCUGGACAAGUGGAUUGGGUGCUGGCCGAGGGGGCUGGGAAGUUGAUUCGGCAGGCGGCAGCGAGGCUGUGCUGUCCGAGGAGGUUGAAGAGCUUCCGACUGGGCUUGCCGUUCGGCAAGGGACUUGGCAGCGGCCAAGGUGUCCAGCGGUUGGAGGCUUCGGCAGGGUUUCGUCGCGGCAGCUGGUUCUGCCAGCUGGGAGAGGUGCUUGGCCAGGUCGUGUGCUUCGGUAUGUCCUCCUUUCCCUCUGAUUUCAUUCUUGCAUAGCCCUUGCCGUUCGGCAAGGGUGCCCUGAGCUGAUUUUUAUUUUUAUUGAUCGUUGUGUUUGAUCAAAGGUGAUAGGCCCGAGCAAAAUUGGAGCUAGGCCAUUGGCACGAGCGCGGCCAAAAAUAACUUGGCUGAAAAAGUAGCUGGGCCGAAAAUAGUUGGGUGUGGAGAGUAUUUUGACCGAAAAGGUGAGUCCCCCCUUUGUUGUUUCUCGGGCCUUGCCGUUCGGCAAGCCCAUUUAUAUUAUGUGGUGGAAUUGGCUUGGGUGUCUUGAUCAAAUUUGGGCCUAGCCUUGUAGUAGGUUUGGGCUUAUGGAGUAGGCUAGCAAACUUGAAAUUUGGGACUCCAUUUUGUUUUUGCACGGGCCUUGCCGUUCGGCAAGGCCCCUAUUUCCCUCAAAAUUUUUGUGUUGGUUAUUGUGUAGUUUGAAAAUUGAAUUCAAAUGUACCUUUAGGAGGGAAUAUGAAAGGGUACUAGGGUUUGCUCGUGAAAUUGAGGCGUGGUACCCUUAGUUGGCUAUAAAAAGGAACUUGGGUGGUGAAGGCAUCACACUUGGCUUGAGUUGAGAAAAAUUGUGAGAAUUUUGAGGAGGAGGAGAAGAGAUUUCCGGCGAAGGUUUUGUGGUGGUGCUUGUGGCUGAGGUGAUUUCCGGGGACUUGUACGUGGUGGUACGAACAAGGUUAGACCUUAUUUCGCUUGAACUUUUGAAUUGAAAUGUCUUGUUUUGCAUGAACAUGUUGAAGGUUAGGAAGAACACAUUGAACAUGAGCAUGAACAUGAUGAACAUGUUGAACAUAUGUAUGAACAUGUAGAAUUCUUGCCUGGCAUGAAGAUUUGGCAAAUUGUUGUUGUUGUGGUUCGAUCCUCUCUGCAUGUGCAUUUAGUUCCUUCUCUUGUUUUUCCAUACUUGUAGAUGUCUGAAAGUUCUGAUAGGGAAAGUCUUGACCCCCCUGCCUUCGGCGGGGAUGAUACUGAGAGUCAAGAGCCGAGUCAAUAUAUAUGUUCUGAAGAGGAAAGUUCAGAGACAGAGGGUAUGGUGGAAGGAACCAUAGAAAGUAGGAUGAUAGGGCCUGGGGGUGAGAGGGCUGAGCCAUCGGGAGACUCUGGGUCGGCUGCAUAUAGGGAGAUGCAGAGAAAUUAUAUAGAGUUAGAGGCUAUAGCAAAUCGGGUUCUAGCCUUGCCUCAGACGCAAGAAGUGGGUUCGAGCAACCAGGCAUCACCAUCAGGGUCUGUGGGUAUAGCCGUGGCUUCGGUGUCAGAGGGAUUAGACAUCCGGGUUGGUGUCCCGUUGCCGAGGCGGAAUACACUUACAGAAGCGAAAUUGGCCCAGCUACGAACAGAUUUUUGUGUGCCAGCCUAUGUGGGCUUGAGGUUACCCACGGAGGUUGAUGUAGUCAGAUAUCCUUCGGAUGGCUCCGUGAUGAUUUUUACAGAUAUGUAUCGGCAUGGCUUCAGACUACCGUUUCAUCCGUGGGUUCAGAUGAUGUUGGCCAAGUUGGGGUAUGCACCGGGGCAGUAUAAUCCCAACUUUUGGAUUCUUCUUCAUGGGGUGUAUAUCGCCUGGUGGUUGGCUGGGUUAGGGGAGCCAACGUUUGAGCAGUUCAUGUACCUGUACUCCAUUUCGAAGCAACAGGGGAAUUUUGGCUGGGUACAGGCCAAUUGCCGAAAGGCGAAGGAGAGGGGCUAUUUUAUUGGACACAAGCCCACAACGCAAAAGUCCUGGAGGAACAGGUGGUGCUUGGCCUAUGGGGACUGGGAAUGUCCUCCAGGGAAGAGCGUUGUCCAGCACAUUCCUACCCACUUCCAGUCUAUAGGUCCUUGCCCCAUCCCUUAAGAUUGUCAAAUGCCUGAUUGUGUUGUUUUGGCUCCUAUUUUUGGUUCUGUACUUCCUUUGUGCCAGUGUAAAUGGCUAAGUAGUUUCUAACUCUUGAUGCAGGUUCAGUGAAGUGGGGCCCUAUCUCCAAGGAGCAAGAAGACGAAGUUGAGUGGGUGAGGGCGCAGCUAUCAGAGACUGAGCGUGAGUGCGGGAACCUAGUCACGCAGAAGAAUUUGUUUGAGUCCGGACUGCUGCAAGGAAGUAAGUACCUGGGUUAUCUUUUUGUUGUGUGCUAAGCCUGUUGUAAGUUUGAGUAAUAGAGUUGCUUUGUUUGUUUUGACAGUGGCUGGCAUCAUAAGGGGGAGCACGAAGGUGGCCGUAGACAUUGAUGAGGCCGAGAUGCAGAAGCGGCUGAGGGAGUCUCGGGCCAAGAAAGCUGAGAAAAUUGCUGGGAAACGACCCAGGGAUGAUGAUGAGGGUCGGGUCGCGGACGUGCUGGGGAAGAGGAAGGCUUUGGAGGAGGCUCAUCAGCAUGUGAUGGGGUCAGGGCCGAGGCUUCCGCCCUUUGAUCUGCAGGCACCGCCGAAGCUACCCUUCGGCAUGGAGGAUGUGUUCGCUGAAGGGGUAGAGAAGGUAGACUUCGGCAGGCUACGCCAGCAGAAGAAGGAGGUCAACCUGGCUAUGCACCGGCAGGAGGUGCCCUUAGUGAAAGUCUUCCUGGAAGGCGUGAAGAGCGACCCUGAGGCUCUGGCGAGGACUCCAGCUGCUUCCUUCAUUGACCGGGCCCAAAAGACGAUCCUCACCUCUGCCUAUGUAAGUGUUUAGGCCAUUUUUGAAUGUAUUUGUGUUGGAUUAUUUGUGUGGAUUGACUAACAUGGUUUUGGUUUUGCAGGCCUUUGGCGAGAUGUACGUCAGCAUGGCCAAGGCUGACAAGGAGAUCCAGAGGCUGAAGAGGCGGGAUGAGCUAGCCAAGAGCAAAAUGGCAGAGGCGCAGGAGGCCAUCCGAGAGAAGAACACCUUGCUGGUUCAGAAGGCGGCCCUGGCCAAGGAGGUGGAGGAGCUGAAGAGAUCUAGGGCCGAGGAGGUGGCUGCUGCCCGAGCCGAGGCGAUUGAGUCCUUCCGAUCCUCAGAGGAGCUGAAGAGCUAUAUCAUGGACCGACUGGUUGAUGAGCAGCUUCGCUGGGAAGAUAGGUUGGUUAGGUUCAACCCCUCACUGGAGAUUAACUUUGACACCAGUGGCGAGCCUCCUGCACAGACCCCUCCUGCUGAUGCUAGCGCCCCGACACGAGAGGCUGAGCCAGCCACUGAGGAUGCUCCUUCGACCGAGUCCUGAAGGCGUUGCCUUCGUGAUGUGUUAUAGCUAUUUUGUACUCUAGUGAUUGUGUUUGAACACUUGUUUGUUUUGUUUACUUUGGUUAUGUAUGAACAUUUGUCCUUGCCUGGAGCAAGGCUGUUUUUAUUUAUGAUAUGAACUUAGCUUGAUAUCAAUUGUGUUAACAAUGAUAACAAUGUGAGUUCAUGAGAAUGAGCCUGAGUCAGGCAUUUUAUUGAAAUAGAUGCCGAAAGGCAGAAGGUACAAGUGGUCUAGGGUCUAGAUACCUUACGUCUAACUUACAGUAAAUAAUCAAGACCAAAGUAUUAUCCUAGGGUCUAGAUAUGUUUACUUGUAAUAGUACUUGAGGUGGUCAGCAUUCCACGGGUGAGGCAGCGUCUUGCCUGAGGAAUCACGAAGCUGAUAAGUGCCGGGGCAGCAGAUUUUGAUAAUCUCAUAAGGACCUUCCCAUGUAGGGCCGAGGGUACCCUCGUUGGGAUUUUUGGUAGCCAAGGAAACCUUGCGCAUGACCCAGUCCCCCAUUUUGAAAGCACGGGGCUUGACUCGGGAGUCAUAGUAUUUGGCGAUGCGUUGCUUGUACGCGGCAUUGCGCAUGCUUGAUUGGUCCCGGAGUUCGUCAAUGAAGUCGAGGUUGAGGGCCAACUGCUCGUCAUUGGCCGUGGCAUCGUAAGUGGAGGUUCGGUAUGUGGGCUGGCCAAUCUCUACCGGAGCCACGGCCUCGGUUCCAAAUGAUAGGGAGAACGGCGUUUCACCCGUGGAUGUGCGGAAGGUGUUGCGGUAGGACCAGAGUACUUCUGGGAGUAGUUCUGGCCAGCAGCCCUUGGCUUUGUCAAGUUUUGUCUUGAGGGUCUUCUUGAUAAUUUUGUUCACGGUUUCGACCUGGCCAUUGGACUGAGGAUGGGCUGGGGAGGCGAAACACAGACGAAUCUUGAGGUUCGAACAAAAUUGUUUGAAUUUGGCGUUGUCAAAUUGCCGGCCAUUGUCGGUGAUGAUGGAGUUGGGGAUGCCGAAGCGACAUACAAUGUUUUGCCACACAAAGGAUUCGAUGCGAGCCGCAGUGAUGGUGGCCAAGGCCUCGGCCUCAGCCCACUUGGUGAAGUAGUCUACGGCCACAACAGCAUACUUGACUUGGCCCUUGCCCUCUGGCAUCGGUCCGAUGAGAUCCAGUCCCCAUUGGGCAAAUGGCCAAGGACUGACCAUGGCCGUCAGUGGUUCUGCCGGGAGUUGUGGAAUGUUGGCGAAUCUCUGACAUUUGUCGCAUUUUUGGGUGAAGGCCUGGGCGUCAGUGUGGAGUGAAGGCCAGAAAUAUCCUUGGCGGAUUGCCUUAUGAGCUAACGAGCGUGCGCCCGAGUGGUUGCCGCAGAUGCCUUCAUGGAUUUCUCGGAGGACAUAGUGACCCUCCUCUGGAGUCAGGCAUCGGAGGUAAGGAAGGCUGAAACCCCGCUUGUAUAAGGAGCCAUUAAUGAUCAGGUAACGGGCAGAGCGAUGGCGAACGCGUCGUGCUUCUGCCGGAUUAGCCGGUAGUGUUUGGUUUUGUAAGAAUUGGAGGAUGGGGUCCAUCCAUGUAGGGCUGUGAUCAAUAGUGCAGAUGAGUGGGGCUUGUGUGCUGGGCUGGGCCAAAAACUCGAUGUGGAUGUGGCGACCCAGUCCUUGCUCCAAGGCUGAUGCCAACCUGGCUAGUGCAUCGGCAUGGCUAUUCUCGGAGCGCGGCACCUGCCUGAUAGAGUGGGCUUGGAAGUUUGCCAGCAAGUGCCGAGCUUGCUGGAGGUAGGCCGUCAUAGAGGCAUCCUUAGCCGUGAAGUCCUGGUUGACCUGGUGGACCACAAGUUGUGAAUCGCUGAAUAUCUGAAUUUGCCUGGCGUCCAUCUCUUUGGCUAAUCGAAGACCAGCUAAGAGUGCUUCAUAUUCGGCCUCAUUGUUGGAGGCUUGGAAUUUGAAGCGAAGGGCGUACUCGAGGGCAACCUUGUCUGGGGAGAUGAGAACGAGGCCGGCCCCACAGCCCUGGGCAUUAGAAGAGCCGUCUACGAAUAAGGUCCACAGGGGCUGGGUUAGGUCGAGAUUGCCUUCGGUGGGGGUUUGGUCCUGGCUGGGAGGGGGGUUGGGUUCGAUUAUGAGCUGGGUAGCUGCGGAAGCUUGGGGAUCCGUGAAUUCGGAUAGGAAGUCAGCAAUGGCCUGGCCCCUCAUAGCCGGGCGGGGUUUGUAGUGAAUAUCAAACUCGCCCAGUUCAAUGGCCCAUUUGACCAGCCUCCCAGAGGUUUCUGGGUUCUGCAACACCUGUCGGAGCGGGUGGUUGGUUAAGACAUGGAUGGUGUGAGCUUGGAAAUAUGGUCGGAGGCGUCUUGCCGAGACGACCAGGGCGAAUGCCAAUUUUUCGAUGUCCGGGUAACGAACUUCGGCAUCUUGCAAUGCUUUACUAACAUAAUGCACUGGGUGCUCCGCGUGAUCUUUUGAUCGGAUAAGCACAGAGCUAACAGCCGAAGCUGAGAUGGAGAGAUAAAUCACGAGGAUGUCUCCGUGCUCAGGGGUUGACAAUAAAGGGGCCCGACCCAUAUACUCCUUCAGCUCGCUGAAAGCCGUGUCACAUUCAGCAGUCCAGGUCAUGUUUCUUUUGGUGCCUUUAAGGGCCUUGAAGAAUGGGGCGCAACGGUCAGUGGCUUUGGAGAUAAAUCUGGUCAGGGCUGCGACACGCCCUGUAAGGCUUUGGAUAUCCUUGGCCGUCUUAGGUAUUGUCAUAUCUAAGAUGGCCUGGAUCUUUUCUGGAUUGGCCUCAAUGCCCCUCUGGCUGAUCAUGAAGCCAAGGAAUUUUCCGGAAGCCACCCCGAAUGCACAUUUGGUGGGGUUAAGCCUCAUUUUGUAUUGCUUCAGAAUGGUGAACAUGGCAGAGAGGUUGGGGAUGUGCUGGUCAGCCGUGCGACUCUUGACUAGCAUGUCAUCGACAUAGACCUCCAUGGUAUUGCCAAUCAGGGGGGCAAAGAGCUGAUUCACCAGACGCUGAUAAGUGGCCCGGCGUUUUUGAGGCCGAAGGGCAUCACCUUAUAGCAGUAGAGGCCGCGGUCCGUAAUGAAAGAGGUGUGUGCCUGAUCUUCGGGGUGCAUGAAGAUCUGGUUGUAACCUGAAUAAGCAUCCAUGAAGCUAAGGAGGGCGUGGCCGGCUGUGGCGUCGACUAGCUGGUCAAUGCGGGGUAGCGGGAAGCUGUCCUUUGGGCAUGCCCGAUUAAGGUUGGUGUAGUCGACACACAUGCGCCAGCCCUUUCUUGGCUUGCGGACCAUCACGACAUUGGCCAGCCAUGUGGGAUAGUCAACCUCCCUGAUGAAUCGGAUACUACUCAAUCGAUCCACCUCCGCCUUCAUGGCCUCAUAGCGCUCGGGAUCAUAGGCUCGACGCUUCUGUCGGACUGGUCGGACGGCAGGAUUGACGCUAAGCCUAUGAGAUAUGAUGUCUGGUGAUAUGCCAGGCAUGUCAUUGUAGGACCAAGCGAAGACUUCGGAGUUGAGGCGGAGGAAGGCGACCAGGUCAGAGCGAAGCUCUGGUGAGAUGGAGGUGCCGAUCCGGACUUGUCGAUCCGGGAUAUCGUCAUGGAGGGUAACCAGCUCCAGGUCCUCCAUAGGUUCGGCCUGUGGUGCGAUGGACUCCUCCCUGGGGUCUUCAGGUGGGUCUGUGCCAGCUUGAGGAGGGGCGGGAGCCUGGGUUACUGCUAGGGCUUCACUCCUAUGUUGGCGAUUGGUGGAUUUGAUGGCUGAAGCAUAGCAGCUUCGGGCUCCGAGUUGGUCGCCGCGCACCGUGCCUGGGCCAUUAGGAGUGGGGAACUUCAACAGCAGUAUAUGCGUGAAAAUAAAAGCCUUCAUUUGGGCCAAGGCUGGGCGGCCGAGGAUGACGUUGUAGGCUGUGGGGCAAUCGACGAUAAGGAAGGGGGUAGUGAUCGUCGUCCGCUGGGGUGCGGCCCCAAUUGAGAUGGGGAGAUGAAUGCUGCCAAUGGGCUGGACCACAUCACCCGAGAAGCUCACAAGGGGUGUGAUGCUUCGGUCGAGUAGGUGAGGCGGGACCUGGAGUUCAUUGAAGCACUCGGCGAACAUCACACUGACCGAGCUGCCAGUGUCCACCAGGAUACGCCCAACGUCGAAGUUAGAAAUGUCAGCCCGGAUAAUAAGUGGAUCGUCAUGGGGGAGGAUAACACCACGCUCCUCCUCCUCGCAGAAGGUAAUGGGGGCCCAGCCAGUCCUGUGGGUCUUUGGCAAUCGUCCCUGCUCGGUGCUGAAGACCUGGUGCGCAUAGGUGGAGCGGACAUAAUGUUUGAUGGAGUUGUUGGAGGUGCCAGCCAGGGUAGGACCUCCGCUGAUGGUGGAGAUCAUGUUGAUUUGUCGUUGGUGAGGGUUAGGCGGGGCUGGUAUGUUGCGCACAUAGUUGUCCAGCUUACCUUCCCGGAUGAGCCCUUCAAUUAUGUUGCGCAAGGCAACACAAGAUUCGGUGUCAUGGCCGCUGAAUUGAUGAAAGCGGCAGAAGACCCCCGUGUUUGGCAUAGGCUUGUUGGAUGGUCUCCGGGGGGGUGGCUUGGGGAUGAUGGGGGCUUCACGUGCCAGGACGUUCUCAUAGGUGGUGUUGAGGGUCGUAAAAACCUCAAACCUGGGCCUGGGUGCGAAUGGAAGUGGGGCCCGAUCACCAGGCCUGGGAGGGUUGCUUCCACUAGAUUGAUGGGGGUUGCCAUGUCUGCCACGUUUGUGAUUGCCGAAGGGAUGCUGGUAGCUAUCCUUCCGCUUAUGUGGUUGGUUGUCCUGGGCAAUCGGGGCAGGGGUAGAAUGCUGAGGUGGGGCUGGGGCGGGUGCUGAAGCCGGUGGAGGGUCGGCGAAAGUGUUGCGCGCCAAGUUGGCUGGGCCACGCUUGGAAUUGAAGUAUUCAGCCUUAGCGUGGAUCGCCGCCUGCUUCAUCAGCUCUGCAUAUGUGUUCCAACUGUUGCUAUGAACCAGGUAGCGGAAGUUGGACUCGCGGAGGCCGCUCUUAAAAGCGCCGAAGGCAGCGCGAUCGUCAGUGUCUGGGCAGCGAGAGUAUUCAUGACUGAACCGAGCUGCAUAUUCCCGAAGGGGUUCGUCCUCAGCCUGCCUAAGCAUAUACAAGUCGUCGGCAGAGUAUAGGCGAUCAGUCUGGAUCAUAAAAUGGUCCAGGAACGUCUGCUUGAGACUAUCGAAGGAGUUGAUGGUGCAGGGGUGGAGCCUGUAGAACCAAUUCAGGGCCGCGCCGCUGAGGGUGGAAGGGAAAAGGAGGCACAUGCCUUCAUCAGUGAGGCCUUUGCACCCAAGGGCAGACUGGAAGGAGUGGAUGUGGGUGAGAGGGUCCUCCGUGCCAGUGUAGAAAGCGAUGCGGAGGGGCUGGAUAUCUUUCUCCUGGUGGUAGUGGAGGAUGCGUUCAGUAAAGGGCCCUGGUCGUGGUUUUGCCCAGAGGGGUUGAUGGCUGCGUUGUUGUUCGCUUUCCAAGCGCCGGACCUUUUCGAAGAGAAGCCUCAUGGCCGGGUCGGCAUGAGGAAGAGUUUCAGGCGCCAAAGGCCUGGGGGCGGGGCAGACAGGGACUGGGGAUUGUUCCCAAUUUUCCAGCGCCCCGGUGUGGUAAUUUGGCCAGGUCUCCGAAUUAUAAAAGUCCCAAGUAUCCGAGUCCCCGACACCUUCCUCGUCGGGUAUGCGGACGGGGGCUGGCGAAGGGCCCGGGUGUGUCACCCGUGGGUCUUCGAGGUUGACAGGGAUAGGGAUCGGCCUUGGCUGGCGGUCCGAGAGGCGAUCCCUGCAAUCUUGGUAGAUCCUGACUGGUUCAUGGGGCCGGUCCCUCGGUGGGGGAACGCAAAGGGGUCGUGACUGGGCUAUCUCCGGAUGAAGGUGGUCCUUACCCUUGCGGAGCCUAGCCUGGGCCGAGGCACUGUGGCUGGAAUGUACCGGCUGGUUCGGCUGAGUAGGCCCAACGUUCUGGGUGAGGUCUUGCGGGGCAUCCUGGGUGUGAGUCCUUUCCCAGUUCCGCUUUAAAACACGGUAGUCAUGUUCUAGCUCAAUGUUCCUGCAAUGAAGGUGGUCGUAUUUUUCCGACAUUUUAGUGACACUGUCGCGGAGACGCUCCACUUCUGCCUGGAGAGUGGCAUCUUCCGAAGAUCUCCUUCUAGAAGUACCAUCGCGGGGGGUAUGAUGCUGGGUAUCGCGGCUAUCCUCGGUCGGCAUAGCAGAAUGUGGGGUGAAGAAGAGGCGACGGGGCCUGAGGGGUGAAGGAGCCAGCUGGGCUGAUAGAGAAAGAGGGGAUUCAAGUGUCGAUUUCCCACAGACGGCGCCAAACUGUUGAUGCUCAAAAUGGCCCGGCCAAUAUUGAGUCCAACUUAGUGAUUAGAUGUGCUGAGUCUUCAGCAGAGAAGAGGGCUGAGGCCCUUGGUGAAAUGGGUUGGUGAGAGACCUGUAGAAGGUAAAAAGAGGAGAAGCAAUCGUCAAGCUUCGGACACCGGUGUGGUGCCGGCCGAAGGCUCUCCGAUGCCUAAGUCAAUUACAAGUAGUAAUUCUGGCAGAGUAACAGUAAAAGUGGGAGAGUAGUUCUCUGUUUUACCUGGGUACUGUUCCCUAUUUAUAGGGAAGUGAAAGUGGGAGCUUUGCACAAAGUUCCAAUGUGGGACUUUGUGCAAGCCAUUGUGGUGACGACACGUGUCCUGGAGAUUAGGUUUGGCAGCUGAGAGCUUCGGCAGGUGUCUGGCACCUCGGAAGUGUGUCUUCCUUCGGCAUGGGAGAAGGCGUGGCUGCCUUGGUGCUAGUCGCUUUGAUGCUGGGUCUGCUCGGUUCAUUAUGGUGUAAACAUAAAGUAUUAGGAAUUUUCUUUAGCACCUUGACAUUCAAUUUUCUCUAGUCUCAUUAUGAUUGACGUGUGAUUUCCAUAACAUUAAUUAUGCAUUGUAUAUAGCAGAUAAUUUACUCCUUUAUAUGGUUUUGUCUUGUAUGAUUGUGUGGCUUUCUUCCUUUUUUCCUAUAUAUAUCUGAUGCAAGCUAGCAUAUAUCAAUAUACACUUGCAGUGUUUUUGCAUGUGCAUGUGCUUUUGAUCAAUUAACAUGAAGGGCGACGGAAGGUGCUUGAAACUCUUUCUUGCAUUAUCGAUCCUUUUCCUACAAAACGUAAAAGGAGGAGAAGUUGGCCACAGCCACAACCACAGCCACAGUCACAGCCUCAGAGAUGCUAAAGUGACAGUGAGGUGCAUAGAGAGGGAAAGGCAAGCACUACUUGCAUUCAAACGUGGCCUGGUGGAUGAGUUCAAUCUACUCUCAACUUGGGGUUCAGAAGCCGAAAAACAAGAUUGUUGCAGAUGGGAAGGAGUCUAUUGUAGCAACCAAACUGGCCAUGUGAUUCAACUUCAUCUUGGAUAUUCUUUCCUUGAUGAGAUGUUUCAACCUGCUUUUGAAUAUUCUUUCCAAGGUAAGAUGAUUAGUCCUAAACUGAUUGAGUUGCAGCAUUUACAAUAUUUGCACCUUGCAUCCAUUGAUUUCAAUGAGAGCCAAAUUCCUGAUUUCAUUGGUUCUCUAACCAAUCUAAGAUACCUCAGUUUCCAUUCCUGUCAUUUGGUUGGUCAAAUUCCAAGUUCGUUUGGAAACCUCACGCAAUUGCAAUAUCUCGACCUCAGCUAUAAUUAUCAGCUUCAACCAGAAAAUCUCAAUUGGCUCGUUGCUCUUUCUUCUUUAACGGAUUUGGGCCUUGCAUCCUUUGAUUUCAAUUGGAGCCAAAUUCCAGAUUUCAUUGGUUCUCUAACCAAUCUAAGAAACCUCAAACUCUCUUCCUGUAAUUUGGUUGGUCCAAUUCCAAGUUCGUUUGGAAACCUCACACAAUUGCAACAUCUCGACCUCGCCAAUAAUCAGCUUCAACCAGAAAAUCUCAAUUGGCCCCCCGCUCUUUCUUCUUUAACAGAUUUGGACCUAAGCGGAAACAAUCAAAAUACUGUUUUGGACCUUGCAUCGAUUGAUUUCAAUGGGAGUCAAAUUCCAGAUUUCAUUGGUUCUCUAGCUAAUCUAAGGUACCUCAGUCUCAGUUCCUGUAAUUUGGUUGGUCAAAUUCCCAGUUUGUUUGGAAACCUCACGCAAUUGCAACAUCUCGACCUUAGCGGUAAUCAUCUUCAAGCAGAAAAUCUCAAUUGGCUCCCUGCUCUUUCUUCUUUAACGUAUUUGGACCUAAGCGGAGCCAAUCUCAGUACUGUUUUCGAUUGGCCAGAAGCAGUACUUAAUAAGCUCCCUAAACUAGAAGAGUUGACCUUGGUGAACUGUAGUCUUCCUCCUCCUCCUCCUCCUCCUCCUACUCUUUACAAAACAAAUUCUUCUACAUCUCUUGCGUAUGUUGAUCUCUCUGACAACCAUCUCACUUCUUCAAUAUUUCUUUGGUUGUCCAACUACAGUACAAGCCUUGUUGCUCUUGGCCUCUCCAACAAUCAUCUAUCUGGUUUCAUUCCCAAUUUCAUUGGAAACAUGAGCUCUCUUGUGGAUCUGGAUCUCUCUGAUAACCAGAUUAAAGGAGCGAAUCCAAAUUCGUUUGCAAGGCUGUGUAAUUUGCAAACAUUGCAGCUUCAAAGAAAUCAUCUGAGUGGACAAUUAUCUCAACUAUUGCCUAGAUGUGCUCAAAACUCAUUAGAGGAAUUGUACCUCUCUAAUAAUGUUCUUGCGGGGUCAUUAAACAAUCUUACAAGCUUCUCAUCUUUGGAAGUCUUGCAUCUUAGCGCCAAUCAAUUAAGCGGAAAAAUACCUGAAAGUGUUGGGCAAAUGUCCCAACUGUAUGACAUUGAUUUCAGCAUGAACUCUUUGGAAGGGGUGGUUUCAGAAACUCAUUUCUCAAAACUCUCCAAAUUAGAAUAUUUGGAUUUAUCCUCUAACUCACUAGUUUUAAACUUUAGUUCUAAUUGGGUUCCUCCCUUCCAGUUGAGAUACAUAAAUUUGACGUCCUGCAAGGUCGGUCCCCUUUUCCCAAAAUGGCUUCAAACUCAAAAACAUUUUUCCCUGCUUGAUAUUUCUAAUGCUGGAAUAUCUGAUAGCCUUCCAAGUUGGUUUUGGAGUAAUUUUCGUAGCGCAGACAUUAUUAAUCUCUCACAGAAUCUAAUCAGAGGAAUACUUACAAAUUUGACAGCAGAAUUUCCAUUUUACGCAGAACUACAUUUAAGUUCGAACCAAAUAGAAGGUCCAAUUCCCUCAAUUCUAUCACAAGCCUCAUAUCUGGAUCUCUCUAAUAAUAACAUUUCAGGGUCGCUUUCUUUCCUAUGUGCAAGUGCAGAUAUGAGUUAUCUUAAUCUUUCAAGCAACAGUUUUUCUGGAGAACUUCCGGAUUGCUGGAGCCAUUUGGAGAAUAAUCUAGUCAUGCUUGAUUUGAGUAACAACGCUUUUUCCGGAAAAAUUCCCAUGACAAUAGGCUCUUUAUUUCAAAUGCAAACUUUGAAAUUAAGAAGCAACCGAUUUGUUGGAGAAUUGCCUUCAUCGUUGAAGAACUGCACAAGUUUAGAGGUUAUUGAUCUGGGAGAUAAUAAAUUAUCAGGACCAAUACCUACAUGGUUAGGUGUGAGCUUCAAUAAUUUGGUUAUCCUGAUGCUUUCCUCUAAUCACUUCAAUGGAAGCAUGCCCUCGCAAUUAUGUCAUCUAACACGAAUUCAAAUUAUGGAUUUUUCUGUGAACAACAUCUCUGGAAGCAUACCCAAAUGCCUCAACAAUUUGACUACUCUGGCUCAAAAAGGAAAUCCAAGUCUAUCCAGUAGACAUUCUUAUACGAGACUUAUGGGUAAUAACACAGCUGCUAGUGCUAAUUAUGAGGAUGAUGCAAGCUUCAUAUGGAAAGGAAGAAUGCAGACAUACAAAAGCACUUUGGGACUUGUGAAAAGAAUUGAUCUCUCAAGCAAUAGAUUAACAGGGGAGAUUCCAAGUGAAAUCACUCAUCUUGUUGAGUUGGUUUCUUUAAACCUUUCAAGAAACCGGUUAACAGGUCAAAUAACUCCAGAGAUUGGAAAUUUGCAGUCAUUGGAUUCUCUUGAUUUGUCAAGAAACCAGAUAGAUGGAAGAAUUCCGACAAGCCUUGCUCGGAUAGAUCGUCUUAGUUUCUUGGACCUGUCAUAUAACAACUUGUCUGGCAAAAUACCAACAGGCACUCAGCUCCAAAGCUUUGAUCCCCUUGAUUAUGCUGAAAAUCCUCAACUAUGUGGACCUCCACUUAAAAAGAUGUGUGCUGAUCAAAAUGAGCCAUUGAGCAAUGAAGAGGAUAAGGAUGAGUUUAUAACACUGGGAUUUUACAUCAGUAUGGGGAUUGGAUUUGCUGCUGGAUUUUGGGGAGUUUGCGGCACUUUGAUAUUCAAUAGGUCAUGGAGAUAUGCAUACUUGAAGUUCUUGAAUGGUUUAAAUGAUUGGCUCUAUGUGAAGAUAGCUUUGAGCAAGCGGCAACUAAAGCUAGCAUAUGCUUAGUAGAUAAGCUCGCAACGGUACUCUCUCAUUCAUCAUUAAUUUUGUUUUAUAAUUAUUUUUCUUAUUGCAUUUUUUCCUUUUCUCCAUACUGACGGGUAUUAGUUUGUUUACUUUGAUAUUUAGCUGCAGCAUCUAAAUUAGGAGAAAAGUAGUUGUAGCUGAAUGCCUUCUUUCAGUUCAAGUGUGGAAGAUUGCCAGUAGCCGCACGCACAAGUAUCUGGAGAAGAGUUUACGAGUUAAUUUGGAGUGCUUAGUAGGAAUAAAUAUUAUUCAUAUUAGUGUUAAUUACUUGUCAGAAUAAUUAAUUCGGAAUUCUCCAAUUAAUGUUUUUUAAUAUAUUUGUUAUAGAGAAAUAAACAGAUCCAUUUUAAUCCAAGCUCACUCCGAUUAAUGUAUUAAUUCCAGCUAUAAUGUUAUUUUAAUGAACUAAGCCAAAGCCAAAGCGGACUUGAUUUCAAAUUACAAUGUGUGGCUCUGUUUUGGUCAUCUAUUUGCAACGUACAGCUUCUCCUUGUAAAUGCGUGGCUUUGUUUUGGUCAUUCUUUCCUUUCAUAAUUCAACAUCUUGUUCUGGAUUCCUUUUUGUAAACAGACUUUUUGUAUUUGGUCUAUUUUGUGGAUUUUAAGAUUGUGUUAGGCUUACUUGUUAGCUGCAAAAUGCCUUGUACCAAAACUAAAUGGUUUAUCCAUACUCUUCUUGGCUUCAAGCUGAUAUCUCCUAAAGUAGAAAUGAAGAAAUAAAAUAGCUUCUAAAUUACACGAGAUUCUACCCCCAGCUUGCUUGCAGUAUAUGAUACACAUAUCUAGCACGUUGAAUCCAUACAGAAAAACCAAAAGCAGCAUAUGAUACACAUAUCUUGCACGUCUCUUGCUAAGACGCCAAGAGUUAGGUUCACGGUAUCUAUCAUAUAGCGGUUCAAUACGUUCUUGACGCUUGCGCUUGCUCAUCUUGGUGGGAUCUGCCACUUUGAAGAACCUGGGUGCCAGUUCCGCGAGCCAUCUGGGGUCAACGACUGUCACCUCGCGCAUGUACUCCUUUGUGGUCAUAACCAGCUCCUGGUAGAUCACCCAAUCUGGUUGUCUCUGGAAGAGGGCGCUGCUUGGGUGUAUAUAAACUGGUUGGUUCUCCACUAGGGUUCUAUAACCCUCCUGCGGGUCCUUUCUAGCACCGUGGAAGAAAAACCCUGCUGUAAUUGCCUUCCUGAUCUUUGUAAAAUUCUUUCCAGCACUGACAACAUCUAGUUUAUACCUGAAAUUCACAAUCUAUAGUCAGAAUGCAAUUUCAUCUUCAAAUCAGAAAACUUAGAAAUCUUUGAUCACUGUUAUAAACUAAAGCAACCGGUGCUAGUAGAGACAUUGGCAUGACAAACUUAUGCUAAGUUUUUAUACACAAUCUUUAUAAUAAUCUAUCCUAGAACUUACAUGACAAUGCUAUGUCAAUCAAAGAAAUCUGUUAAUGGCGAUGGUAGGAUGUGUAAUAUGCCAUCUGAAUUUCCAUAUCAACUUAUAAAACAGUUUUGCAAUAUUUUGUACAAACAACACUUUACCAAGAAAAACAAUUCCAGUAUCAAAAUGACUAACAUGUCAGCACAAGAGAGCACAUUUGAAGAGCAUAUACUGGCAAUUUAGCUAUACACAAGAGUAGUUAUAAUUUAUAAAGAUACUAUACUUAACCAUUGAAAAAAUGGGAAAAAAGCACUUCUGCUAAUAAUGCUCGGAAAACAGUGUAUGUAACAUCAACAUGAGUCAUGACAACUCGUAAUGACCUAUUCAAUGCUCAGGUAUCAUAUAUCAAGAUUUUAAAACACAAACUAGGCCUGAACAACAUUUCAGCAUUUCCAUCAAGUACAGACAGCAAAAGGCGUGCCUAAUUCACGACUACUGCAAAAAUACAAUGUACCAAACAUAAGAAAACCUAGAACAUUAAUCUACAUCUUUUAAAACCAUUCAUGCACAUGUGAAACCAGAAAAAAAAUCCAUGCAGCCACGAAUACACAUCAAGAUAAAUUAGAAGAACAUACUUGUCCAUGAUGCUGAGAAGCUGUUUUCUGACAUCCUGUGCCCUCCUCAAGGAUCGAGACUGAACAAAGUUCUCAAAACACCAUGGCCCUGAAAAAUUCUUAGCUUUCCAUGCCUCAUAGACUGCAAGUAAAGUCAGAUGAUCUCCUUCUGGCUGGAAAAACUUGGCUCUCUUCUGAUCUGCCUGGGCUUGUUUUUCCCUAGGCCUGUAAAAAAUAUUACCAGUCUGAAUCAUUGCAAUGAUGGUCAAGAUCUCAUCACUGCAUCCAAGGUCGACACUGCCCAGUAGCAUCUUAGACAAGGUGGAUCCAGAGGAAACUCAGCCAUUUUCCUACCCAAUUUGGUGAGCAGCCCCUCCUCAUCCAGUGCUCCUAAACUGUACAAUUGUUCCAUGGCAGAAAUGAGUGCUUGGGGUGAAGGAGGAUCCAUAAAAUCAAAAGACAAGAGAUCAUUUAUCCCCAUAGCUUUCAUCGUAAGUGAAGUUGUCCCAAGAUUUAUCCUCUGGAUUUCUGGAAUUGAAGUAGGGGACAUCUCAUUGCGGUAUGCACUCUCAGUGUAGAGGCGGUAACAUUUCCCAGGGCCUGUACGCCCAGCGAACCCAGCUCGUUGCUUGGCUGAUGCUUGGGAAAUUGGAGUUAUGACAAGUGAAUCUAGGCCCUGCUUUGGGUUAUAAACAUUUUGCUUUGCAAAACCAGGAUCAAUGACAUAAAAUAUCCCAUCAAUGGUCAGUGAUGCCUCAGCAAUAUUAGUAGCCACAACUACUUUCCUCUAACCUGGUGGGGCAGGAUCAAAUAUCCUUGACUGCAUUUCACUAGGAAGGGCACUAUACACUGGUAGGAUAAUCAACUCAGGGACAUUUUUACCAAGACCUUUCAUCCUCUCAUAAAGAGACUAGCAUGCAAAAUCGAUCUCUUCUUGUCCAGUCAAGAAAAGAAGGAUGUCACCUUCAGGUUCUGUCAAGUGUAUUUGUAGAACAGUUAUUAGAGAUGCAUCAAGGUAGUCACUUUCCGUCUGUUUAGUGUAAAGUAUCUCUACAGGAAAGUUCUCCCAGGGAUAGUGAAGAUGUUACAGUUGAAGAAAUAACCAGAAAACUUCUCCGCAUCCAAAGUAGCAGAUGUGACAAUCAAACGAAGGUCUGGUCUCCGCUUCACAAGCUUCUUCAGUAGUCCAAAAAGAACAUCUGUGUGGAUUGUCCUCUCAUGAGCUUCAUCAAGCAUGACCACAGAAUACUGAGAAAGGUUCUCGUCAAUCAAAAUCUCCCGAAGAAGCAUACCAUCAGUCAUGUACUUGAUGACAGUAUUGGGACCAGUGCAAUCCUCAAAACGAAUUGCAUAGCCGACUUCCUCUCCUAAACGACAACCAAACUCUUCAGCAACCCUCUUGGCCACAGACAUGGCAGCCACCCUAUGUGGCUGUGUACAAUCAAUCUUACCCAUUGUCGAGCUCAUUCUCUCCAAUGGCCGGCGUGACGGGCCAACAUCAUCCUCUUCCACAAUCCUAAUCCCAGAAAGACCAGUCCUAGUCACAGGUCCAUCCUUUGAAAAAGAUGGGUUCGUCCUAAGAGCAUCAUCCUCUGAGCUCUAAUUCAAGGGGAGCAAAUCCUUCCCUGUAUGUUGAUCAACAUCCCUCAUCGAAAGGCUCAACUUCUGACCUGAAAUUGAAAUCACCUUCACAUAAACUUCCUGAUCCCUCUUCACCACAUCCUUAGCAUUGCUAAUUCGCCUAGUUGCCAUCUGUGAAACGUGAACCAGACCCUCCUUCCCUCUUAAAUCAUUCAACUGAACAAAACAACCGGUGUCCAUCACUCUCGAAACCCUGCCCUUAUAAACCUGAUACAAUUCGGGCUCAUCCGAAUGGUUCUGGCCAUUCUGCCGAUCCCUAUUACCUCUCCUAUCAUCACCAUCUUCCUUAACAUCUCCAUCGUCUUCAUACCUAUCUCUCUUAUGCUUAUUGUAUCGAUCUGUAUGCCUUCCCCUGUCAUCAUCAUCAUCAUUAUAAUGUGUAUCUCUGCGCCUCUCAUCUCUAUCAUACCUUUCCCUUCGCCUCUCCCUCCCAUCUCUAUCUCUACCUCCUCUGUGUCUAUCUCGAUCUCUAUCCCUUUCCCUAUAUCUCUAUCUCUAUCUCCUUCCCUAUAUUUAUCACUACCUCUACGCCUAUCUCCUUCUUGCUCUUCGUCUUGUUCUUCUCUUCUGUUUCGCUUUUCCUUGGUCUCCAUCUCAAUUUCCUUCUCGAUGUCCUUGACUCUAUCUUUAUUAUCGGCAACUGCCAAAGCCUUAAACUUGGUCUUCCUACCAUCAGAAGCGCUCUCUUUCUUCGAGUCCUUCUCCGGCUUUGGCUUCGGAGGAAGAAUAGCGUGAAUGAUAGUGAGGAGUGUACGGACAAAGUAAUCGGGCAUCUCGGCACUGUUUUCUUUAAUUUGGUGUCGAACUCGUCCACCACUUUCGUCCAAACUCAGUGAUGAACUCCGCCAGAACUUUGUCCCCAACCCCUAUAUGGGUUUCGAGCUCUAAACAGACCUUGGAAACCAAGGAAAGGUACUCGAGCUUCUUCAAACCAUCGUCAGUGGCAGCCAUUAUGAACUUGCAGAGGUCCUAUUCAUAUUCAACACAAAAAAUUCAUAUCAACGGAAAUUUCAAAAUUUAUGAGAAGAUCAUUGCUACAUACUGAAUAAUAAAUUUAUCACAAUAAAGAAACAAUUUCUACAACUUCAAACUCACCCACCAAAAAAUGAAAUUUAAAUCUAAAAUUGCAUACCAGGAGGAUCUGGAGAGUUAAUUCAACUAAUAAUAAAGUAAACUUGGAAUGCCAAAAAAAAUUCAACUAAAACCCUAAAACCCAGGAAAUAAGAAACGGAAGAGAAUAAAAAAGAAAUAUGAAACAAAAUCAAGGAAACUGAUCGUUGCUAGAGGGUGGGGGUUCAGUGGAUCUUAAAUCUGUGAUGAGAUGGGGUCGAAGAUUAGAAUAUAUUGCAGUAAGACAUCAUACUUGGGAUGAGAUGAGAUCGAGGAUGGUUGCGCGUCAACCGUUGUCACUGUCGAGAGAGAGAGGAGAGCUGAGCAAUAUGUAUAUGGAAGGAAGACGGGGUCGAACAAUGGAGUAGUUGACGGUUGAGAUGGGCGGAUUGUUCGUGGCUGACGGCUGGAGCGUUUUCUGUUUCAGAAAUAAUCUCAACUUGAGAACUUGAGAUGCAGUGCGCCUGGUGCAUCGAUACGCCUAAAUUUGGGACCUGUGAACAGAAGAAUAUUAGGUAAGAAAUAAAAAGAUGACGAAAAUUUUAGAAAAUAUAGUUAGUGGAGAUAUUUUUAUUUAUACAAACAAUAAUCUAGUUUUUUUUUUUUUAAAUUUAUAUAAUCAUUCUAGGCCUACUUUGAUUUUUAUUUUUUAACAACAACUAGGAUAUUGGCACCUGAGUUGAUCUAUAGUAUUUUUUAUACAAAUUUAGUUAUAUACCCAAUCUUAGACAUAGUCUUAUAAAGAAACCUUAUAUCAUUUUAAAAUUAAAAACACACCAAAAAAAAACUCAAAAAUCGACAGCUGUCAAUUUUAUAAUUUAAUAGUUAUUUUUUAGUUUAUUUGUGUGUGUAAAAUACUUAUAUUGCCCUUGUACUAUGGAUUUAAGAGAGAAAAAUCAAAUCUGCCAAAAAAUCAAAUUUGAUUUAUUUUCUCCUUUCUCGCUGGUGUUUUCUCGAUGUUGGAGCUUCCAUUGAAGCUCAAUCUCAGGUUCAACUAUAUUAUUCAUCCUCAUCUUCGAGCUCUACUCCUCUUUCACCACGCUGUUGUCGUCAUCAUCGUCCUCUUUAUUGUCGUCGUCGUUGUUUGGUUUGGACUUGAGAUUUGUUAUCUUUUGCUUCAAUUAUGUGUUUCUCUUCAGAUUUUAGUUUAUUUUCGAAAUGUAUUUUAAGCUUUGAUAAUUGAUUUAUCCUCUGUUACUAUUUCAGUUAUGGAUCUCAUUUUUGUUUAACUAUGUACUUCUAUGACAGAGUAUUAACAAUGUACUUUUAUGACAUGAUAGUAUUAACAAUCUGCGCUUUGCUUGUUUUGAGUUGGUCUGGUUUGUUCUUUCGUCUUUUCUUUGGUGGACAUGUAUUAGAAAUAGCAACAAGACAAGCAUUAAUUAACAUCGUAAACUAGCAGUGUUAUUAUUUUAGACUGGAACGUUACAAGGGUAGAUAUGCAUUAGAAAUAGGAUGUCACUAGACUGGAACAUUACACAGGGUAGACAUGAAUUAGAAAUAAGAUGUCAUAUUAAACUAGCAAUGUUAUUACCCUAGACUGGAACAUUACCACCAUUAAUCAACAUGACAGUAAACUAGCAAUGUUAUUACCCUAGACUGAAACAUUAUAGCCAUUAGUUAACAUGACAAUAAACUAGCAGUGUUAUUACCCUAGACUGGAACAUUAUAGCCAUUAAUCAACAUGACAGUAAAUUAGCAAUGUUAUUACCCCAGACUGGAACAUUACAAAAUAGCAGUGUUAUUACCCUAUACUGGAACAUUACAUGGGUAGACAUGCAUUAGAAAUAGGAUAUCAUAGGAAACUAGCAGUGUUAUUACCUUAAACUGGAACAUUAAAGGGGUAAACAUGAACUAGAAAUAGGAUAUCAUAGGAAACUAGUAGUGUUAUGACAUUAGAAUGGAAGUGUUAUUACCCUAGACUGGAAUAUUACGUGGGUAGACAUGCAUGAGAAAUAAGAUGUCAUAGGAAACUAGCAGUGUUAUUACCCUAGACUGCAACAUUACAGCUAUUAAUUAACAUGACAGUAAACUACAGUGUUAUUACUCUAGACUGGAACAUUACAGCCAUUAAUCAAUUUGACAAUAAAGGUAUGGAACAUUACAGUCAUUAAUCAACAUGACACGUUAAUGAAGCUAUGAUUUUCAAGACAUUUUGUUUCUAAUGAAUUGUUUGGGCUUUUUUUUAUAAAAUUGGGUUGGGCUUGUUUUGGGUGCUAUUUAAGUUUUUUGUGUUGGGCUUCUUUUAAGUUGAUCAAUGACAAUCACGUAAUUUAUAGGAACUUCAGCACCAAUUUCUUAUAUAAUAAAUGAGUUUUGGGUGUGUUUCUAAAAUACAUUCCAUGUGGGGUUUUUUUUAUAAUUUCAGCCCAUAUUUUGGGUAUAUUAGUGAAGCUCCCUAUUUUUUACUCCUUUACGUUAGGUUAUUUUUAAAAAAAAAUUAUUUUAUUUUAGAAUUAGAAAAGAUAAUGGAUAGGUGUGUUUCAUAAAAAUAGAAUUCAUUAUCUAAUUUUUCUUUUAAUUUUGAUUUUUUUAAUAUGAAAAAGUGUGAAUUUAUCAUAUUAUCCUCAUUUAAUUAAUAAUUUCAAUUCUUAAUGUUUGCAUUAACCAAGGACAUUUUCUGGUAUUUUGAAUAUUUUACCACUCUCUGCCUUUUACUUUAUACAGUCCUGAUCUCUUGAACUACAGAGGUCCAAAAGAUUUGUGGUCACUCACCAUUAUAUAUAAAUUCAACGGUUCCCUCACUCUUGUACGCCUUUUAAGAAACUUUUUUGAACCAUAGAUAAUAAUAAAAAUACUCUAUUUCAUUGAGGAAUUGUUAUGCAUAAUAAAAUCGUAUACACAUCACAUUGUAUUGAAAUGUUGUAUGGCUAAAAAAAAUAAAAAUGUUAUGUUUCAAGAAUGAUAAAUAAAUAUCAUGCAUAAAAAUGGUGUGUAUGGAAGAAUCCCAUUGUGGAGGCGCAUGACCAACUAUCAUUUGUAUGAAAUUACUAUUUCGAUUAGGAUAAUUGAUGAUCAUCGAUAUCAAUCAUAAUAUUAAAUUUUUUUUUUCUUUUGGAUAAUAUUAUGUUUCUAAAGCAUCAACACUGUCAUCAAACAAUAUUAACCAUUCCAGCAUAUAUUAGUGACUAAACUCUUCUAAGUAUGUUGCAAUUAUCAGAUAAGGAGUUAGUAAUCAUAGAGGAAAAUAUGCAAUUUAUAUCUUCUGGCUUGACAAUUGCAUUUUACAUACGUUGUUUUUCCUGUGAUUACUACUUAUGUCCUUCGAUUGUGUAUAUAUUGUUUGCAUGGUAAGUGGAAACCUUUAGAAGAUAAGCUCUCUGUUUGAAAUCACAUCUGUAUUCUUUUAAGGUUUAUGUGAAAGAUAAAUCAUGAAGUAGUCUACUAAUGUGAUAAUGGCUCAUAUUUUCACAUUUUCCUGUCUUCGAAAAUUAGUUGCCUCUAUUCUUGAAAACGAAUGAAGUGAUGGAGAGGUCUUAUUAUUUUUGGAAAAUUUUACAAUGUUCCCACAUCCCUGUAUUUGACAUUGUACGUAGAUAAUAACAUGAGUGACUCCAAUACUUCAUGUGACAAUGAGGUAUGAACUUCAUCACAUUUUGUCUCUUUCUGGUUAUAAUAGUCACGAUGCAUUUCACACAUUUGCUGGUUUAGUCAAUGAUGUUAUACUUCAGAAUUCAGAUAGAUUAGAAUCAGAUGUUUGCUUUCUCUUUGCUUGUUACCAAAUACUUUGUGUGUUUAAUAUCUUUGUGUGUCUAGUUAUCGUGGUUCAAUGAAAAAACAAAAUAAGAAAAACGAAUCUUUUCACUUGUGCUGUUUUUGCUCUCUUUGAUAUUUACUUUCUCAAUGAUUUUUUUCAAGAAUAUCGCUUACCAUGAAACGCACUAAACAAAACUCUAAAAUACAACUAUUCAUAUAUUGCUCGAACUCAAAUCGUUUUUUCCUCCAACCAUACAGACUCAAAAGCAACUUUAUUAAAUUGUUUAGGAAUGGUUCAUUCCUAAGUGCCCGUUUGACAUUGCUUAUUUGGGGUGAUAAGUGAUUUUUUCAAAAUUUUGGGAAGCCCCAGCCCGUUUGGUAAACUAUGAGAUAAUCACUUAUUGUUAAAAAUUACUAAGAGAGAAAGCUAUAAGGGAAAUCAGCUAAUAAGGUGCUUUUAUUUUGUCACAUCCUCGGGAUCGGCACCGAUGUAGCCCGAUAUUGUCUGCUUUGGGCCCCCCAUCUUUGCCCUCAUAGUUUUGUUUUUGGAAACUCACGAGCAACUUCCCAGUGGAUCACCCAUUCUGGGAUUGGUCUACCUCCAACUCGCUUAACUUCGGAGUUCUCAUGACUCCGAAGCCAGUGAGCUCCCAAAAGGCCUCGUAUUAGAUGGAGGCAGGAAUGUACAUAAAAGGCGCAUCACUCCCUCUCCGUUGAUCAAUGUAGGAUGUUACACAUUUUUUGAUUAUGCGAGAAUCAGUUUCGAAGAGGCUAGUUUUAAUGAUUAUGCGGGAAUCAUUUUUCGAUUAUGCGGGAAUUAGUACCAACAACACUUAUAACAAAAAAUUUACCAAAUGUCAAACUACUUUCUCUCACAGUUGAUUUCUUUUACAGCAAAUCUGAUAGAGAUUAUUUUCACAGCACAGCAAUGCCAAACUGGUUUGUUUUGCCAUUAAGUUUACUUGACAAUUUUUUUGUUAGUAAAUUUAGGUUUUGCUCAUAAAAAAACUUUCACUUUUGGAAAAAGCCAAAGCUUUUUCAAAAAAGACAGAAAAAUCUCUCAACUUUCAAACCAAAGACAUGCAAAUGUAAAGGAUUCUUUUGGAAAUCAAAAAAUAAAUAAGGGCAAUUUUGUCCAUUUUGGUUUCUUUUAAAAAUUUUCUCUCUCCUUUGGUUUUUUCCAAAGUCUCCCUUUGUUGUUUCAUGAUUUAAUUUUCUAAUUAUUUUAACUUUAAAAAUUUUAAAUUCCAAAAUUAACAAGAAUGAAAGGAGAAUUACCAAAAUUAACAAAGUGAGAAUGAACAAAAAAUGAUUUUGGUGGAUUAUUAUAGCGUUUGGAGUGAGUUUUGGUGUUUGAUCUGAUUUUGAUUAUUUAAUAAUACUAUUUUGGCCACUGGAUUUGAUUUUGAGCCAUUGGAUUUUUUUUUGUAUAGUUGAAUUUGCUCAAAUUAAAUCUUAGCCGUUAGGUAUUAUAUAACGAUAGAAAUUAAAGAAAAUGAAACAGUAGUUUGAAGGAAGCCGUUGGAUUCCUACGAUCCUUUCAUCCCAGCUCAUUAUGUGUCCUGACGACAUGGGCCCCACGUCUUCUCAUCCAUUAAUCCCAACUCAAUGAACUUCAUUUUCAAACCCAACAAAAAUAAAUAAAUAAAUAGCCGAUCUGAUUUGAAUGCUCCUCUUUAUCAUGCAUUUUGUUCAGGAUAGCGGACUGAUUGUCUAGGCCAAGUGGGCACAAUAGUAGAGAUUUUAAAAUCAACUUUCUGAACGUAAAAUUAAAGUGGCGCGUUUAUGAAAAAGUUUCCCUCCUCCUUUUUCCCCCUCACUCCCCUGGAAGAAUACCGGUAUAUAUUUUUCAUUUUCCGAAUUUCCAUUUUCUCUCAACUCAAACAUCAUUUUCUCUUGUCAUCCUCCUCCUUCAAUACAACCCACAACCAUUUUUAGCUCGAAUCUUCUAAAACUACUACUUCGUUGUAAUUGGAUAUUAUUGAUUUGAUGGGUAGAGAGCGAGCUUAUGUCGAUGACGAUAUUGAUGAAAGUAAGUUCAAGACUUCGGAAGCAAUGAACCGCUACAAGAAAAUCUUCAGUGUUCAACGUGUGACGGUUGAGCGGGAGGUCAAAUUCAGUGACUUCAACGAUCUUGGGCUUCCCAGAAUCUUCAAAUCAAGAGGUUGGCUUUUGGCAAUGGGUCCUUCAGAGCUUGCUAAUAUCCAGAUUGUCCAAGAAUUCUAAGCAAACAUUCCUCCUUUCUCCGCCGAGCAGAAAACCCCACCUGGGUUGGGCCCUUUUGGUUCUUGUUUGUGGGAUGAGACUCUGCAUUUCUCCAGCGGUCGAGAAUACCCUGACUCAUUUGAUGUGUAUUUGCGAGGUAAGGUGUUGAAUUUCUCUGUUUUUGGCAUUGCCCAGUUGCUUAAACUUGCUAGGCCAAACCCAAAUGAAAAAUCACCUGGUUUUCCUGGGCUUCUUGUUGAUAACCUUGACUUGAAGUUGGUGAAAUCUACUUUGGGUUGGAACAAGAGGGUCAGGGUUUUGCUUGAACAUCGACUUAGUGAUUUGUACAAAGUGCUUAACAGCAUCGUGAGAUAUAAUAUCGAUCCUCCUUGUCACGUUAUCCCUUCUUUGCUGAGCCCUGAUAGAGCUCGCCUUCUUUAUGCCAUUGGGAACAAUGUGCCCAUUGAUCUGGCCACCUACAUUUUUCGUGCCAUCUGCCGUGCUGCAUUCCCAACUUCCAUGCCCGACUCCCUGCCUUUUACAUCCUUGAUCACGCACUUCGCCAUGGCUUCUCACGUGCCAGUUGAGCCUACGGAUAAGCUUUAUGCUCCUUGGUCGCCUUUGGACAACAUGGAUAUUUUUGGCUAUAGCUUUACUCCAUGUUCUCCAGCAGUCAAGCAGCCUCAAGCGGUGGUGAGCCAUACGCCCAGCAUGGCCCUACUUACCAAUGACGUUGCUGAGCACAGGGGUGAUGUGCACCCCGUUUCCACCCACUCGGUCAUCCCAUGUUCUUCGAAACAGCCAUUUGCAGGUCAGUCAAAUGUUAAUAGACAGACAUUAACGAGGCUUUAAUAGACAGAUAUUGAGAAUCCAUUUAAUAGACAGAUGUUAAGUUAUAUGUGUGUGUAAAAGAGUUUAUAAAGGAGGCUUAAUCAAAUGUAAUUUUCCUUAUAUUACACUUGGACAUUCAGCUUAUUACUGUAAAAUGCAUAGGCACUUAUUGUUUUUAAGUGCAGGUGGUAAAAAUUUCCGGGUUUUCGUUGGUAGCAUCGUAGUUAGUAACAGAGUUGAACAUAUAGUAAGCAAUUAGGCAUUAAACAUGUAAUGUUUCUGUGAGUAGUACUUAUGUCCUUCGAUUGUGUGUAUAUUAUUUCUGGAAUAUUUCUGUGGAAACCUUUAGAAGAUAAGUAUCUGUUUGAAAUCACAUCUGUAUUCUUUUGAGGUUUAGUGUGAAAGAUAAAUCAUGAAGUAGUCUACUAAUGCGAUAAUGGCUCAUAUUUUCACAUUUUCCUGUCUUCGAAAAUUAGUUGCCUCUGUUCUUGAAAACGUAUAAAGUGAUGGAGAGGUCUUUUUAUUUUUGGAAAAUUUUACAAUGUUCCCACAUCUCUGUAGUCUGUAUUUGACAAUGAGGUAUGAACUUCAUCACAUUUUGUCUCUUUCUGGUUAUAAUAGUCACGAUGCAUUUCACACCUUUGCUGGUUCAGUCAAUGCUGUUAUACUUCAGAAUUCAGAUAGAUUAGAAUCAGAUGUUUGCUUUCUCUCUGCUUUUUACCAAAUACUCUGUCAGUUUAACAUCUUUGUGUGUAAACAAUAUAAGAAAAACGAAUCUUUUCUCUUGUGCUGUUUUUGCUCUCUUUGAUGUGUUAGGAAAUAAUCAGUAAAUGUUUUAUACUAUAGGAUCACUAUUUUAUUGCACAACUCUUAAAAUAUAAACAGUAGCAAAAUUAUGAAAUCUGUAUAAAUGUGCAAAUAUAAAUGAAGUAUAGAAUACUGACUUUUAUUGAAGAUAGAGGCUUGCGUAUUCGCAAUGUCCUAAAGACAGAAUUUCGCCUCUUCUCAGUGCUUGAAGUUCAACAUGCGUCUAUCUCCCAAGAUUCAACUAUCUAUAAUUCAAGGGUCCAGCACCGGAUCCUUGAAUUCUGGCGAACGUUGGUGUGCUUCUCUCCAAUACAGUAGGUAACUUUAAAAUAGUAUGAGAUAGUUUAAGGAAAAAGAUGUACGUCUUAUGGCCUAGGACUUGUAGUUUUAUAAUAGAAUUACACCCCUUCAAAAUAGCAGUUAGUAUCAGUUAUACCUGUUCAAAUUCAAACAAAAAGAUAAGUCUUUCUGGUUUGAAUUUAACUUCUGCCAAAAGAAAUCCAAAAAAUAAAAAGUAAUUAUUUUAUUUUCGGGCUAGGUAUAUUUCUUUUAUUUUCCAGAGACCCCAAGAGCCCCAAGUCUUGAUUAUUUAAAUAUUAAUAUUAAUCAAGCAAGCCAACCAUGAUAGUCUUCACUACCAAGCCCAUCAGCCCACCAACCUUUAUUCAAUUGAUGUUAAGGUUUCAUGCUUAUAAAGCAUAUGGAACCUUUUGUUUUCUCCAUUGUGGGACAUUUGCUUUCAAACUUCCAACAUGAUGUUUACUUUCUCUCUGUGCUUGUGCUGAAGAAAUAAUGGAGGCUGAAGAAGAAAAUAACGGCAAUUUGAUUCCUAACUCGCAUGCUUGCAUAAAUCCGUUAACUUCAACUUCUGACUCGCAUCCAAAUAAGAAAGCGAAAAAAGAUACAUUGGAACAUGUAGCUGGUGAGGUGUCAAAGUUACUGCAGGAGUUUUUGGCGAGUCAAAUGAAACAGCUCAAAGGAGAGGAGGUCCUUGGAGUGGUUUCAAAGAUACCUAACCUCAGUAGAUUGCAAGUUUUUAAGGCUGUACGCAUAAUAUUGAGUGGUAACCCAGAAGAAUUCUCUCUAUUGAAAUCUCUUCCUGAUGUUGAGAAGACAGAGUGGAUACUCUUACUUAUUAGUCAAUCUAAAGGUAACUUUCUUAGACAUAAAGCCACUUAUCAACAUUUACUUUCUCUCAGGAAAAGAAGAAAGUUUGAGAUGCGCUAUCCCUUCUGGCCAUGGUACGGCUCUCUCUCUCUCUCUCCCCCUCUCUCUCUCCCUCUCUCUCUCUCUAACUCAAUUUCUAGUUCUGUAAGAUUCCUACGUCGUAUCUAGAUAGAAGAGCGUAUAUAUAUUAUUGCUUUAUCAAUCAUUGAUAGAGUAGUAUGACUAAUCUUUCUUUUUAUUCUUUUUCAUGUAUCAUUCUCAUUAUAUACUUGUUUUUGUCCUUGUUCUUAUUCACACUCACACUUCCAAGCACUACUGCAUAACGUCUUAUGUUGGUUACAAUUAGCUUCUUGACUGUUAGCUAUGAAUUACAUGCUUCAAGAACAUAACUUAUAAUCUAUUCAAGUUUUCUUGUUUCAUGUUUUGAAAGGAGCUUUUAGGGUUCAACUGAGAGAUUUGAACUGAAAUAUCCCAAUUCUAAAUCCUUCUACUCCAAAUUAAAGAGAAAAAAAAAGUAUGAACCAAUUGGAUAGAAUAUACUUGCACCUACUUCCUCCUUGAAUGAGUUUCAGUAAGAAAGCUAGUAUAGCCAAUUGGACAGAAUUUACUUGCACAUACUCCCUCCUUUGAGGUAGUUUUCAAGUGCAUCACCUUAUGAUACCUCUUCAAGUUUUUAAUUAGUACUGCCUUGUGACAUGCCAAUUUUCUUCAAUGAUUAUAUAAAGGGAGCGGAGUGGCCAAUUCUUUCCUUUCAUAAUUCAACAUGUUGUUCUGGGCACAUGGCAGAAGAUGCCUUUUUUGUAAACAGACUUUUUGUAUUUGGUUAGGCUUGCAAUGCUCUAUUUUGUGGAUUUUAAGAUUGUAUUAGGCUUACUUGUGAGCUGCAAAAUACCUUGUACCAAAAUUUAUGUAUAAAAUGUGUGCUAAAUGUGUGUGGAGUGCAAGAUUGAAGGUCUUCCUGGA
rnacentral:lncRNA from 1 species